rnacentral:lncRNA from 1 species
GGGGGCAGUAAGAAACAAGGGUACUUAGGCAAAAAAACACAAAUAAUCUAGUAUCAAGAAAGGUGGUGGUGGGGCUGUGAUAUUUGGAUCAUGACGAAAAUAAGUAGGAAUAGGUUUUCAAUCAGUUCAUGUAUUUGUUUUGUUUUUUUUCCUUUUAUCUCGAUUUGUUGCGAUACUAUAUCGGGGAACUGCAGAAGGGGAAAAGGGUUUAAGAAGAAGAUGGAGUUAGGCUGGAAAUUAUCAGGAUCAAGGGUCAGAUUUAAGUAAUGAAUUCAUUCUCUGUGCCCAUGUGGAUUUGGUAUAUGUACGAGCUAUCGCUAGUAUGUUGCUGGUAUUGAUUGAGAAGUCAUAUCCUAAAGGCUUUCUUCUCUCCAGCGCAAUUUAUUCAGAAUUUUACUGCUAGGGGUAGUUGUAAUCUUUUGUUUGUUUCGGCAGAUACUUGCAUGUUGCUUUAUUGAGCUUGGUUGUAGUUUCAGCUUGUGUAUAUACCAUCUGCAGUAUCUCCACCCGUUUCAGCUUUAUUUGAGAUGUAGCGAGGCUUGCGGAUCCUGUCAGACAGGUUCUUGUUCAGUUGCUGCUUUAUAGUGAUGGAAAUGACAAAAAGUGGCAAAGAUUCAUGCAACUAUAGACCUUAUCAAAGCUGUCAAACUGGGACUUUAUUUAUUCGGAGGUCAUGGAAUGUUAGUAUGAUAAGGGAGUUUUAUUCCUGGCGCAGUACAUUGUAAGUAAUUUUAAGCAUUUAUGGGCCAAAAUCAUGGCCAUUACUACUAUGAAAAACUGAAGUGAAUUGUACUAGCAUGAGCCUUGGAAAUGGUUGUUCUUGUAUCCUUGAUUCCUUGAAGUACAUACUUGGAAAAUGUUUUACAUUGAAUGAAGUUGGCUAGUUGCAAUUUGUACACAUUUGGUCACUUAAUUCGAAGCAAGCAGUGGAAGCUAAAAUCUUCAAAAGUAGAACAAACCAAAUUCAUUAAUGUCAACCCAAGUACAACAAAAGUGAGGUAAAUAAAAAAAAAUCUAAAAGAAACCCUAAAACACCAGAGCUAAGAGCAACAUAAAAAAGGUAAAAGAGGGAAUGAAACAAAUAGUUUAAAAUAAACUAAAAGUGAGGAUUGUCUCGUACGUUUUUGCAUUGUUUCACUCAACUUUGUAAUUUGUUUAUAAACAUAAUUUCAGUAUGUGUAAUAUUUUUCGUAUAAUUAAAAAAGAUUAGAUACAUAACUUUUCUCGUAUAUUAGUAGAGCAACUUGAGUUUUAUCCUUCUUACAAUCACCCCGCAUUUUAGUGGGGCUGAGUCACCUCAUGAUUUUUUUAACUUCCGGUGUUGUGUUCUUAACUUUUCUGGUAAUAAUGGGAAGCUUUUAAGGGUUUACUGCUGGAGUAAUUGGCAUGUGAUGUGGUCGCCGCGGAGCUCACUCAAUAUUUACUCAUACAGUGAAACGUCGACGCCAUGUUAGGAACAACUUAUGGUUUCAUUGGAUCUGAAAUCUGAGUUUCUGGGCCUCUUUAUUAUCCAAUCCUAGAUGAAACCUGGGCUGCCUGUUCCUGGCCCUUAAUUUCCCAUCACCUGAAGACGGAACCAAGUCCCCAACUCGCAAGGCAGGCAAUUCUUCCGCCGGAAACUGAACAACAAACACAGCUUAGCAAUUCAUAAGGCGAACUGAAGUAAAAGAAGAAAUAGUAAUGAAGAGACUCAGUCGAGGGCUUAUUCCAUGCAUGAAUUCAUUGAGGCAAAUUCAAGUAGCAAAAUCAAAUCCCCAUCCUCGUAAUCAAAGAUCAUUUCUUUUACCCGCGAUUCCCAACAUUUUUCUUUCUUUUUGUCGCUAUUAUUCCACCGGUAAGCCUUUUUAUGUACUUACCAGAUUAUGUUUCAGAAAGAAAAAAAAAAGUGUCACUUUGGAUUCAUUGGAACAAUAUUCUCGUAAUGGGCAGAGCUGCAACCUCAGCUUUCUACUGACCUCCUGAAAAUAAUGGAACAAAGAUUAGCCGCUAUUGAGCAUAGGAGUGCUUUUCUCGAGAAUUUCAUGAACCAGGUAAUAUCUUUUAAUUUUAAAUUCUUUUAUGCUUCUGUUUAAUUCUAUUUUGAUUUUUGUUGAAAUUGAGCUUGUGGGUGUUGUUUGAAGACAGCCAGAAGCCUCACCUACCGAGUAUUCGAAGGCUAACGAAGAGCUUCAUAAACUUAGGGACUCAAUGGACCUCAUAAAUGAGCUGAGAACCAAACAGAAGGUAUAUUUUUGUCUUCAUUUUCUGUCUUGUACAAAUGUUCUGUCUUACAGUUUUAUUCUGUGUCGAUGAAUCAACCUUUUGUCCCUUGUCUGAUGGUAUCAUGUAUCUUGUAUAUUUCCGUAGCUUUCCUAAUUAAGCCUUCAGUAAGUUGACCUGUGUUGAUAAAUGAUGACAUAGUAUACAUACUAUGGCCCUAGAGGUAUCUUUAUGCGUUAUCCUAUAUUCCUAUUGUUUCCUAUAGUUGCUAUUAUGUUGUGAUUGGUCCAAUGAGAAUUCUGUUUUAAGUUUUCCUUUUUGUUCCCCAUUUUAAGUAGGAGAUUGACGGUUUGAGGUCAUUGAUGGCUGAAUGCCCCAAUGAUAAAGACAUGCUUGAGAUGGCAACUGAGGAUCUUGGUAAGGCUUUGGAAGAAGAGAAAAGACUGCAGAACUUGUUACUCAAGUCUUUACUUCCUAGAGAUGAUGCUGAUGAGAGGGACUGCAUUUUGGAGGUUAGAGCAGGUAAUAACUGUUUGUUGAGGUGGCACAUGAAUACUGGUUUUUGUCAUUGUUUUUUGUUGAAUAUUUUUCCUGCUUUUUUAAUCAGGAACUGGUGGGGAGGAGGCUUCUUUGUUUGCGAUGGAUGUGUUCAAAAUGUAAGUCAGUACAACAUGGUGUCAUGGUCCGUGCAUGAAUCAUGAGUUUUUUUUCAGAAGCUGCUUGUCUGAGAAUUCUUUACUUGGAUGGUUACAACAGGUAUGAGAGGUAAUCACAGAAGAAGGGGUGGAAGUUUGAAGUGGUAGAUAUAGCAGAGUCUGAUCUGAAAGGGUAUAAGGUAUCUAUUUCAUCUUGUGUGGUUUCUAGGAUCUUUGUCUUUCUAAAGUUUAUGGAAUUAUCUUGUGGAGCUUAUCUCCUGUCCGCAUCACAGAACCUUGACUUCUUGUUCUCCUUAUCAGCAAGCUAGUGCAGCAAUCUCAGGAGCUGGUGUUUAUGGGAAACUUAAAUUUGAGAGUGGAAUUCACAGAGUUCAGGUUUUUGUUUCUGACUUUUUAACAUGCAAUAUAAUGCUUUAAAGCCCAACAUAAAUGGCAUUUUCUUUUGGCAGCGUGUUCCUGUGACAGAGAAGUCUGGACGGAUCCACACGAGUGCUGUAUCAGUUGCUGUUCUCCCUCAGGCCGAUGAGGUGCUUAAGGAUAUGUUUUGUAUUUCAUUUGUUUUUUUUAGCUGUUUGGAAGAUUGUUAGAUUAUUUUGUUGGGAGUUUUAUUGGAUUCUCAGACUGCUCAUACUAGUUCACUUGUACUUAAGUAUUGGACAUUCCAUUGUCACAAUUUAUUUGAUUUAUAGUUUUAAUUACUAUAUCCUUUUUGCCUUCUUUGAUUGAUGUUCUUGUUGAGGUUCUGCAGGUGGAUGUCCGGUUAAGGAAUGAAGAUUUGAGAAUUGAUACUUACAGGUCUGGUGGUUCUGGCGGUCAACAUGCAAACACCACCAACAGUGCAGUUAGAGUCACACAUUUUCCCACUGGUAUAACAGUAACUAUACAGGAUGAACGAUCUCAGCAUAUGGUAAAGAGUACUCAAAUGUUUUAGUGUGGAUUCUUUUCUGUUGAGAUCUUUUGCUUUGAACUUCAUUUUUUCCAUACUGUGCAAUAGUGUGCCAAGACAUACUUGUGAAGUUUGCAGCCUUUCUUAGGUUUUUUUUUUUCACCUUGGCGUGAUUUAUUUGUUUCAAUAUGAUCUAAACAGAGGAAUGAGUUUUUCGUUUGAAAAGUUAAUGAUGCAUGCUUAAUUUUUAUCCACAUUGCUAGUUUCAGCUUUUUGGCUAUUUUAUUGCCCUAUCAUGUAAUGUCUUUAGAAACUACCUCUACUUGUUUGUAUAUAGAGAAGGCACUUUAUCAGUUGAAACUUGACUUUUAACCUGGUCUUAGGUAUGAAUCUCAGCAUGGGGGAGAGUUAUCUCUAUUUGUGUAAGAUCUGUGGGUAUGCGCAUGAAGUAGAAAAGAAGCUAGUCUUGCAUAGAUAGCUUUGUAUUUCUGUAUUGACUUGAUUGCAUCCAUGAGGACAGAAAAUAAGUCUUUGAAACUUUCUGGUUACUGAUAUAUAUGGCAUAUUUAAGGUCUCUUAAGUAAAGCUUGUAAUCUAUGGUUAUAUGUUAGACAUGGACUUUAACUUGAAAGCACUGAAAUAUGAAUUUGGAUGGUUUGCUAAACAGUAUCAUCCAUCGAUAUUUUUAUCCUGGUGCUUUCGUAACUUCCCCUUCUUUUUGCUUCCUAUGAUAGAACAAAGCUAAGGCCCUUAAAGUCCUCUGUGCAAAGCUGUAUGAAAUGGAGAGGUCCAGAAUUCAGACAAGCCGAUCAAAGCUUAGAUCUGAACAGGUAUGGGUUACUAUGAGAUGAAAUUUUAGAUUCUGUCCUUCAGAUCCAGAUGAUUGGGUAUUAAUCACUUUGAUAUUAAUAGAUUGGUAGUGGAGAUAGAUCUGAGCGCAUUCGAACCUAUAACUUUCCUCAAGGGCGAGUCACCGAUCAUCGUAUCGGCAUCACUUAUCAUGCAAUAGAUGAUGUGAUGCAGGGAGAGAAUCUGGAUGUCUUUGUGGAUGCUCUUCUUUUGCAACAGGAAAUGGAUGCAAUUGCAACCUUCAGUUCUGAUCAAUGACGUUUAUUACGGGUAAUGUCUUGACCGUAGCAGAAUUUUAUUUGCCACAUCAUUUUCACACAUGAAACAGCCAUACCCUUUGUUCUCUUGCAACCUGAAUCUUUAAAAUAUUCAAAUUCAUAUUGGUGAUGCAUGGGCUAACAGAGAGGAACAGGCAAUUAUACUUUCAUGACAUGUGCCAUCGCCUGUUGUAUCUUUUACUGUUUGUCGUGGGAGCAAUUAGAGCUUUACAAUAUUGUUAUGUAGCGUGUGACACAAAUAUUAUACGCUUAAUUAGAGUUGACAUAUGCAUGGUUGCCCCCACCUGAUUUGUAGCAGACUCGAUAGCCAUGUAUUACAAUUUUUUCCUAACUAAAGCUGUGACUAAGAAUGGUUACUCAACAUAUUUGCAUCCAAACUGCCAACUGGACUAGUAUUAAAGUGUAUUUAAUCUCAUCCGAUCCCUGUUUAAAGAAGCUCGUGGGCAUGAGAUUGACUGGUUUUUUAAGUCGCCCUUUGUCGGCAUGUGAGCCAUUUGGGCCACCUAGACACCGACCCUAUAUAAACCGGUAAGAUAACUCCAAUCGACUUGCUUCCACCCAAGAAAAAUUGAUGGCUCAUGCCACUAGACAGACAAAAUCCCAUGAUUGAAAUCCUCCGGCUCCUAAACAAAACCAAGACUAUUAGAAUCAUAUAAAAUUAGAUUGCCUAAAAUAAAAGUCUAUUAGUUUAGCAUAAAAUCAAAUGACGAAUAUGACUGGAUGGGAUUUGGUUGAUGCGUGGGCGGUGGGGUACGGUUUUCACCUUUCUUACUCGUCCGGCUGAAAUCAUUAUGUGGGGGCAACAACUUUGUCAUGGAAAAUGUCGCUACUUCUUUUCUUAAAAUAAAAUCUUCCCUGUUUAUAAUUCUUGACUUGAAAUAAAAAUUUUUACAAAAAAUAAACUAAAAUUAUCCACCAAUAUCAAGUGAAGCGAUGAAAAAAAAAAUCAUUAUAUAUUUAAAUUAUUAAUUUGUUAAGUUUGUUUUUCAAAGUCGACUUGCGAGUUUCAAGUGACAAGUCAAUAAUCAGUAUAGUGGAUCAGUAUCUAUUAACAAGUAGAAGAUUAUACCCUAAAUCCAAAGUGAUUAGUAUUAGAAAUUGGAGAAGAAAAUUGUUUGAGUUUUGGUUUGUAGAUUUAUGACGUUUAAAAUUAUUUUUAAACCGUAGAAGAAAAAUAAAAUGAUAGCUUUCAAUUGGUGUAAUGAUCUUAAUAGUCUAAUGACUUAAAUAAAAAACUUUUGUUUAAUUUAAUGAUUAUUUUAUAAUUUUUUUAAAGUAGAAUGAUCAAAAUUUAUUUUUACUAAUAGUUUAAUGGCUGUAGUUGUAGAUUACCCUUGAUACAAUUAUAGGAUGCUAAUUGAUGUGUUUAUUAGGAAAGCCCUAGAAUAUGGUUAAAAUCGAUUGGGGGUCCCAAAAGUGUCCGGACUGAAGGAGACAGGUUAACACAUCAAUUAAAAAAGCAAACCAAAACCUUACCCUAAGAAAUGAAGAAGAAGAGUUUUGAGUGGCAACGAAGGUGUCCAAUAAGGGAAAAAUAAGGGAGGCGAUAAAUGUAUAUUUUCUUCUGCAACCAAGUGUAUUCUACCCAUUAAAAAGUCCUUGAAAAUGACCCCCCGUUCUCAACUGUAGUAAUGACUUGAGAAAAAUCAAGCAAAGAUGUAAUCCUGCCCACAAAAGUCUCUUCCUUUAGUUUCAAGGUAGAAAAAUUUGAGAAAAAUGUGAUAACUUUUUGUUGGCUUCAAGAUAAAAUCUUGGUAGAUUCGUUUCCAUUAUUGGGUUUUAUAAUUACUUUAAUAUUGCAUGUAAUGCUGUAUUUGCCGGAUCUUACAAUAUUUUAGAAUCCGAUGCAAUGCAAUACGUAUAGGCAAGAAAUGGUUAGUGAAAGUCCUCAAGUUUUGUCUGUUUUCCGCCAUUGAUUCUCCUGUUUUAGACCCUGAUUGAUUAAAUUAAUGGAACCAUUAUUUUACGUUGAGUUCAUUUUUAACUUUUUUUAAUAUUUUUUCAUUGCCCAUGGUUAGAUCUAAACUAAAAAAAAAUUCCACCCUGUUGUAUAUUUGACAAAAAGACCCAUCAAAGAAAAAAAAACAAAAAAGGGGAAGAUUUGCUGCUCAAAACAGGUAUCUGACACCUCCCCAAAGACAUAGGGGUGUUAGAAUCUGGUCUGGAAAAUCAAACAAAGUUUACCCUGUCCAUUUUUUUCUUCGAUGAAUCCUAGAAUGCAAAGCAAUUAUUAUUAAGUCUUUCAUUAAUUGCCUCAAAAGAACCAUUACUGAAUUCAUCAAAGGAAAAAAGGGGUGACAUAUGGAUAGGUUCCCUGAUGUUCUGUGUGGUUGGAGCUGGGAGGAGAACAAGUUGUUUGAGCUGGCUUUAGCAGUGGUCGAUGAACAACACCCUGAUCGUUGGGAAGUGGUAGCCGCCAUGGUUGGAGGGGAAAAAACUGCAGAAGAUGUGCAUAAACAUUAUGUCAUACUUUUGGAGGAUUUGCAGUUUAUCGAAUCGGGUAAACUCGACCAUAAACUUGCCGAAACUCAGUCCUGUAUUCAACUUGACUGCACUCAAUCUGUAUGCUGGACUGAUGAUGAUAACAAGUACUCACAAUUCUUUUUCUUUAUUUUCUUCUUCUUCUACCGAUUCUUUUUUAUUCUUUUUCCCGUCUCUAGUCCAUAUUCCUUAUUCACUAGGAUCCUUACAAAUCACAGCUAAAGAGAGUAAAUUUCGAUAUACAUGCAUCUGAGUUUGUUGACCCAAUCAUUUCUUCACGCAUGCAUAGCCAAAUGGGCCAAUUCCCGGCUCAACCUUGUCUUGGCCGUUCAUAAAGGGACAAAUACAAGAAUCCUGUUUUGCAGCCCCAGGGAACAGUGCCUCUCAAUCUAGGACUUCUCAUUGUUCUACUUACCUUAUUUGUUCCGUUUUUUCUUUCUUCUCCUGCAUCAUAAAUUCAUAAUAUCAAAUUUCAUAAGACAGACAUAUUUCAGGGUGGUUAUUGUGGAUCAAUUAUUCUGCUAUAUUUAUGUGGUUCUACUUCCAUGAUGAUGAAUUUUUAAAUCAUAAGCUUUUGUUAUCCUCAUUUUCUAGCAUUCCAUUAGUCUAGUUUUAGGCAGAUUUGAAGUUUUUCCUUGCAUAAGGCCAAUCAGAGUUGAAACAAUGCUUUUUUAGUUUCUGAUGUUUAAUUGUUUCUCUGCGCCUUACAGCUUGCUGGUUCGAUUAGACAUAAAAUGAUCCCCAGAGCUACUGUAUUGCUGGUUUAUUAUGAAAGCAGAUUUGGUCACUGGUGGCUGUGCCAGAACUUACGCCCCACACGAAUGCAGGUCAUAUUAAUAUAUCAAUUCUAAUGUUAUAUCCCUUGUUCCUUGAUGUAAUCACUUUCUUCAUUGUAAAACAGAAUUUAUGGGAGAAAAAAAUCAACUUUGCAAUUUGUAGAUAGUAGAAAUGGGUCUCUGGGCCUUGUUUAUUUGAAGCUGAUGUCCGACCCUUGUUAUACUUUUUCUUCAGUAAAAAAAUUCCAGUUUUAGGGUGGAUUUCUUUCAUGAAGGUUGCAAAUAAUGUGCUAGACUUGUUUUACUUAUCUCCCUAGUGAUAAUUGGUUUGAAUCUUAAACACACUCAACAAAAUUCCAAAUCAUAUUUGCUUAAUAUGGAUGUGAUUUUUACUCUUUGAAGGUGUCUGCCAAAGGUACCAAGAACUUGAUUUCAUAAAAUAUCAGUACUUUGAAGCUAAAAACAUCCAGACUUUAAAGUGAUAGUUUUUUUUUCCCGAAAUCACGAGAUAACAAGACAAAAUGGAAGCAAAAGCAGAUAACAUUACAUCUGAGGAAAUAAUAAUAUCGUCGUUGUUGCAGUCUUGUCCAUUUGCAUGAAGCUAGUUCUAUUCAAAACCCAGAUCAAAGAACACAAACUUGUUCCAAGCAUAAAACAUUCAACCGUAGUUUACAGUUGGUAAUUGAGGGUGUUGUCCUGGGGGGCAGGUGUGAAAUUCCAUUUUCUGAGAAGAAAACUUUCUUUGCCCAAACAACCUGUAUCAGAAACCUAGUGGCCAUGCCACGGGGUGAAUUUAAAAGCUGGAUUGUGGUAAACCCUGAUAUUCUUCCUCUCCUCUAUCUAUCUCCAGUCUGUCACUUAAAGCAAUGCAGCAUUUAUUCAAGUCUUCUUAUUGUGUCAUUUCCCCCCAAUCAAUGGUGAUAGUGGAAAAAACAAGAAGGUUCCUGGAAAUGGUUGGAGAAUCAAAAUGCAAAUUUCCAUUACCAGUAAAACGAAUAAUCUCUAUACUUGGAUUGAAAAGAAUAGAGAGAAAAUGAAGAUAAAAGAGCUGGGGCCAUUGGGGCUCAACAAAAGUCACCACAAUUACCUUGUUAAAAGGUACCUAUCAUGAACCUGGAUCUAAAUUACAGUCAUAAUAAUAAUUCCAAAAUGGGAUAAGGUGAAAAAGUUAAAUAAAAAAAGAGGGAGGAAAAAAAUGGAGGAGGCAGAGCCAGGGAAGAGGCAGUGCAUGGGCGGAGAAACAACAGAAUCAGUUGGUAGAUCCAUCCAUGCUCAGCCUGUUCCCUGUCUUUGUCUGUCUCUCCCAUCUUUCUCACUCUCUCUCAAUAUUGACUGUUACCUCAUCUUGUUUUGCCUCUGUUGGAAUGCCCCCAAAGAAACCUGCCACACUGAUGUCUAUGGCUCUAUGCUCUCAUCUGAGCUAUUUAAGCUAAACCCCCCAAUAACGUUUACAGUACAACUUGUACUAAACGGACCCUGUACUACAGUACUAGCAACUUCUUUGAGUGCCUGUUGAACAUAAAAGAACCCUUUUUGGUGGGAUGAAUUUGUACUACACUUGUAUCUGCUAGUACUCUCAUAUUCUCCAAUGAUACGAUGACUCUUACCAAAUAAAUUACUUCCAUAAAAGAAUUUAGUGAUUCCGUUAGCCUAAUGCAUCCACUUCAAAUCUUUGAAUAAACAGAUUCAGCUUGUCUUGCAGAUUUCAAAUGGUAAUGUUGGAUUAUGAUGAAAAUCAAUCAAGUAUGGUUGCAUUGAUUGAUAAGAACAAUUCGUAUUCUAUCUUUUUGGAGGAUAUUGGUUUCUUUAUGUAAAAAAAGGAUUAUUAGAGGUAUUUGGAAAAGGGGGAGCUGGUGGUGAAAUUCAGAUCAAAUGUUGGCUGCCGAUCUAAGAAAUCCACAUGAACUAGAAUUAGGCCGAGCAACCUUAUAACCAUCCAGCUUAUUGCACCAAGACAAUCACGAUAUGUAAGCUUUUGAUCAACAAUUUAAUUUUGUUCCUUUACUUUCAUUUAUCAACUUAAAUAAAUCAAUUUAAACCAAAAUUUACCCUGUUCUUUUUUGUUAAUCAACAAACUUGCUUAUGUUGAUUUAAAUUGUUUAAAAUUCAUUUAAAAGCCGAUUUACUAUUAAAUCAUUAUAUAUUAAUAGAAUUAUUAUCUGGGCGCUUAUUUUAUUUAUUUAUUUAUUUAUAGUAUAUUUGAUUAUAUCUAAAAUAUAAUAUAUAUUUUAAUAUUUGUGAACAUAUUUAUUUAUUGUUCAUGAAAUAUUUGUUUAAUUUAAACGAAUAAAUAUAAACGUACAUAAUUUUGAACAAAUGAACACAAAUAUAAAAUUGAAAUUCUUAGCAAGAACAGGUUUAAAAAUAAACAAACAUAGGUUGAUUAACAGCCUUAAUCCAAAAUUCAAACUUUCAAUAAAAUUUGAUUCCGAAGUUGUUUGUUUGAAAUUAAAUUAAAACUAGAACAAAUAAAAAUUGAAGGAUUUGAAUUGAAGAAUAAUAAAAAAGGAUAAAGAAACUAAAUAUAAGUAAAACUGAAAGAAAUGAUCAAAUUUGUCUUAGUAACCACGAUUAUCAGACAAGUUUCAAAAAAAAAAAAACAGAGUUUAACCUAGUUCUACAUAAAUGAACCAAUCAAUUUCAAGCAUAAUUAAAGAAUUGUAUAAUAUCUCUAAUAAUCAAAUAUAAACUUAUCAAAAUCCGUAGUUAAAUAUGUGUAUAGGUGGGACCAUAUAAGAGCUAAACUCAUCAUUUAAUCCAACAAAUACAUUUAUUUAGAAAGUUGAAGAGUGAGUGAAGAUAAUUUGUAUUACGGAUCCCUCAAUUCCACCUGUAAGAUCUCUAAGCUACUCGAACAAGCAAAGAACUUUUGCGAACAAAACCAAAAAGAAGGUAAAAGGAAGCAUCAUCUACGAAUAUGUAUUUACUUUUCAUUAUAUAUAUUUCAAAAGUGGGGAUGAUGAAUACAUAGGCAACAAAGAAUUUACAAUUCAAAUAUGAAUGAGAUCAGAAGCAUCUCGUUGCCCUUUCUCUCUUUUCUGAUUCCAUUUCCUUUUUAUAUAUCACAAUAUAAAAGUAAAAAAAUUGGGAUUUCUAACCUGAAUGAAUGUACAACUCCCCCAUGCAAAUGCCCUUUUCCAAGAACAAGUCUAGAGAAUCUCUAGACAAAUGAAUAUAGUUCACUUGGUCUGUUGAAUAUCACAUUUGAUAUUUUAAGAGAUCAGGAAGAGUGAUUUUCCCAGAGUUAUUUGUAUCAAGCUUGCUGAACUGAUUGCAUAUCUGCAAUAUAUCCUUCUCCCCAACCUUCCCCAUUUCUUUGAGCUUGUAAAUGACAUACUCCGAUUUACUGCAACCAGAAAUUUUAAGGUGGAACAUGAACAACAAAAGCAUCACAAGCAAAAGAACUACAAACAAGCCCCAUUAGUCUGCUAGAAAAUAAAUAAACAUCCUCAUGAAUUCAUAGACUACAAGCCCUUUAAUUUCAAACAAGCAACACAUAGAGUUCAUUCCAAAAUGAGCUAGAAAGAUAGAAACCCGACCUGAUAAAACCAUUGUUGUUUAUGUCAGCAGCUAGCAAAUCCUCAAUAGUGAUAUCCCUAUGUAGUACCCACUUGGCAAUCCUCCUAUGCCGCUUGUUAACCCUUGCUUCAGCCAAAUACAGGAAAGCUCUAGCAACGGCCAGCGUCGAAAUCAAGAGCCAAACACCAGCAAACAAGCGUCCAGGCAGAGUCUUAAAGGCCCUGUCCCCAUAUCCAACUGUGGUAACAGACAUAACAGACAAGUAAAUAGAAUCAACCCAGUCCAAGCUCUCCACAAAGUACAAAAUCAGAGAUCCAAUCCCAAUACACAACACCACAACCCCAAGUGCCAAACUGACUUUAAGCCUAAUCCUCAUCCUUCCUUUGUCCACAUCAACAAUGUAAUCCCUAGCUGAAAACCCUUGUUGUGAUUUCUCCAUCUGAAUCCCAGUUAAUAUCAUGUUCUCUUGCAGGUCGAGGACAUAAUUCACAACCCCACUCAACAAUAUAUCAAUAAAACCAAAACCCACCAACACAAACACACAAGCAAAAAUCUUGGUAGCUGGGGUUAAAGGAGCUAUAUCACCAUAACCAAUGGUGCACAUAGUGACUAUACAGAAGUAGAGAGCAUCAACAACCGGGUGAGUCUCGAUACCCGAGAAUUCAUCUCUGUUAAACGAAUAAAUAACAACACCGAGAAUUAAGUAAAUGGAAAGCAAGAAAACAGCUUGCCUGAUAAUGGAGCUGGACUCGGAUUGAGGUUUAGGCACUUGGGGUGUUUUGGGCUUCAAAUCACGCAUGACAGCCAUGGCCGGAGCCGUUUUACAUCGCUUGAGAGAACCGGGCUUCUUUGACCCUGUACUAGGAACAGGAUAAUCAAAACGGGGAGGGGGUUGAAUCUGCGGGUGGUCCUCGAUUUCAGAUUGCAAGAGGGCUGGUGUUGAGAUUGACUGUGGGAUUGUGAGAUAAAAGCCAUGAUGAGAGUCAUCAAGGAUGUGCCGAAAUUCGGGUUUUGAUUGGGGGGAGAGAAAAGGCUCAUCUGCCAUCUCAGAAAGCAGAAAACCCACACAACAGAAAAAGAAGCCUUUUACUUUUUUGCGUCUUGAAGAUCGUGGUGGUUGUUGAGAGGAAGUUGGCUUCAGGUUUAAACUUUCAAUAUUGUGACAUUGCUUUUAAGGAACACACUCUGCUUUCUCUUCAGUCAAAUAAAAAUUAAAAUUAAAAUAUUCACAUUGCACCUUAUAUACUAUAAUCCUUGUUUGGACGCAAUAUGGAUUAUGUUGCUUCAUUUAGUAAAAUGGUAUAAUUAGGUUCCAAUUAACAACAUUCUUACAUCCACUAUCACUAUUUUAUUCCUAUAAAUACUAAACCAUCCAUUCUUUGUUUACUGAUCUCAUUUCUCUUGCUUUUCUACUUCUUAUCCACUUUAGACUUAAAUAUCAAUAAUAAUAUUGUUUUGUGUAGACAAAUAAACCAUAUUCUUUUAAAAUAAAUCUAAAUAACUUCAGUUUUAUACCUCUUUGAUGAGUUAGUGCAAUAAUAUAGGAUUUUCUUUUCAUCAAUGUUAAAAUAGUUGUAAUUUCUCUAUUUGGUAUGUAAAAUUGCUAUUUAUAAUUCUUUUUCAACUCUUAAAUAAGAGGAUAAAACACGUUUAAAUACAUUUAAACUCUUAUCCUCUUCUAGUGACAACAAUACUCAUGUCAACCAAGUUAAGACUUAAUUGAUUGUAUGUAAAUUUGUUGAAGAAGUAAAACUAAUAAUUACUUUAUGAGUCUUGAUUUGAAUAAAGAAAUGAUUAAAUCUAUUAUCAAAUAGAUAUUUGACAUGGGCACGAACUAAGCUACCUUUGUCCCCUAUCUCUGUAUAGAAAAAAGUAUAUCUUUAUGAAAUAUAACUUUUGCCCAAAGGAAAAAAUUCCAAUAAGGAGUUAUUUUAUAAUAUUUUUUAAAUAUAUAUAUAUAUAUAUCAAAUAUAUUACUUUUUAUUAAAUUAAAUAAAAUUUAUUUUUUAAAAAAAUUUAAUAAAAUUAUUUAAUAAAACAUUUCAUCAAAUAAAAUAUUUUUACAAAAUAAAACGCAAAAAGAAUUUUAUUGAAAAAGAAUUGAAAGUUGGGAAUCAUUUAAAAAAAAUCAAAUGUAUUCCUUAAAAAUAAUGUUAGAAGUGCAGGAGAAAAAACAGAAUUGUAAUAUUAAUUUCUGAGUAAGGACCUAAAAAAAGGGGGGAAAAACUUUUAUAGUAGAAUUUACAAUGUGUAAAAACAUUUUAAAUGAUGUAAUAGGCAUCGAGAUUUAAUAAUAAAAAAAUAAAUUUUUAGUACCAAACUCGUUUGAUAUGGAUUUUUAUAACGUGAUCUCAUCUCUUAUUGUUAAUAUUGUAUAAAAAAUGUAUUAUAAUGUUAAUACCAAUGCUAAGGCAUUUAUAAUUUAUCAUCGUAUUAUUCAAUAUAAAAUUUAGUAAGUGUAAUUUGUCCUACUAUUAUAAAUUAAACCAAUUGAAAGCCACCUAACAUAACUUACUGUGCACGCGCUAUUGGGCAAACUUUAUAGUUUUCCAUCUGCCAAAUUGAACUUGAAAGCCAAGAUGAAGAUUAGUCUAGUUUUAAAUACAGAUAUCCAAUAUAAGGUUUUACAUAUAUAAGGACGGGUGUCUGUUAAAAGGGCAAUCAUCAUUUUCUUUGCCAUAUUCUUUACCAAUGGCGCUGUGUGUUAUGAGAUCAAGGCGAAGCCUAGUGACUCCAUCUCAGCAAACACCAUCUGGCAAGCUUGACUUGUCAUUCAUUGAUAAAGUGCCGGUUCUAAGAUGCUAUACCCGCACAUUGCAUGUAUACAAACAUGGCCCUGAAGCAUCAAAGGUCAUUAGGGAAGCCUUGUCCAAGGCCUUGGUGCCUUACUAUCCACUUGCUGGACGGCUAAAAGAGCCCGAUAACAAUCAGCUUCAGGUUGAAUGUUCGGGAGAAGGUGCCUGGUUCGUCGAGGCAUCAGCUGAUUCUAGCCUUCAUGCAUUCAAUUACUUCGACGAUGCUAAUUUUGACAUUCCUUAUGAUGAACUUCUUCCUGAUCAAGUUCCUAAAAGUGAAGGCAUGGAACCUCUUGUACAAAUGCAGGUACCAGAAUUUUGAAUUUAAACCAACAAUGAUAGUAAUGUGAUUAAGCCUAAUGCAGGCAUUGUGCAUGGGUUUUUCUUUUCAUUAGGCAUCGUGCAUGGGUUUUUCUUUUUCUUUGUCUCAGGUGACACAAUUUGCAUGCGGAGGUUUCGUCAUAGGGUUAAUAUUUUGCCACACCAUAUGCGAUGGCUUAGGAUCUGCACAGUUCCUAAACGCUGUAGGGGAGUUCGCGAGAGGCAUAGAGCAUCUAAGCGUUGAGCCGAUGUGGCAAAGGGACUUUUUUCCAACUCCAACACAAGAUGCAAAUGUUAUCCAAUUGGCAAACUUGCCAGUGCCACCACCCCCGAUGCCUGCCAAGCCGCUAGAGCAUGUGAGCAUUGAUAUUUCCAUGGAUGAAAUCAAUCAGCUAAAGAAACAAUUCCAUGAAUCGACGGGGCAAACUUGCUCUGCUUUCGAAAUCGUGGCUGCUAAUUUUUGGAGCCUUCGAACAAGAGCAAUAAACUUGGAGCCAGGUACUGAAGUCCGGCUUCUUUUCUUUGCAAAUUACCGUCAGCUAGUGGAGCCUCCUUUGCCUAAAGGCUUCUAUGGCAACUGUUUCUUCCCGAUAACAAUCACAGCUCCCUGCGACUUGCUUAAACAAGCAUCAGCAAUCGAAGUGAUUAAACUGAUACGAGAAGCCAAGACUAAGCUACCUUCUGAGUUUGGUAAGUUCAAGAAUGGAGAUUACUUGAGAAAUGGGAAGGACCCAUUUCUAGCACCUCUAGGGUACACCACUUUGUUUAUAUCGGAAUGGGGUAGGUUGGGGUUCAACCAGGUUGACUAUGGGUGGGGCCCUCCGGUCCACAUGGUUCCAAUUCCGGGUUCUAGCAUCAUCCCUGUUGGCAUCAUGGGAUCGUUGCCAUUGCCUAGAAAGGGUGUCCGCUUGAUGACAUGGUGUGUUGAUAAAGACCAUACCCAGCCCUUCGUUGAUCUGAUGACGAAACUAGUCUAACAAGUUACCAAUGCUUGAAGUCUUGAACUGCUAUUGCUUUACCCAACGCCAAUGUCUAAAAUAAAACAACACAGCGCCACCACAUGUUCAAAACAUUUGUGGUUUUUAUUUAUUCCGUUUAAUAACAUUGUAUUUGGUAUUAUCUUGAUCUUCAAAAUCAUCUUUUUAUUAAAAUUAUCUCAUUCACUUGUGGUCAUUUUCAAAUAAAAUUAUUAUUUCUCAAUAAGUAAAUGCCAUUGUGUUUAGUUUUAUUAGAAAGCAAUUUUAUUUUAUUUUUUUUUAUGUUUUGUUCAUAUUUGAGAUUUGAGAUUACCCUUCCCAUCAAUAUUAUUUUUUUAUAGUAAAAUAAUCAUAAUAUAAGAAUUACAUAAUUAACUAUAUAUAUAUUUUUAGAAAACUAUUGAUGGUUUAUUUACUUUAUAAUAAUAUAUAACUAAAUUAAGGCUAUGCUUGUUUCAUUAAAAAUGGUUUUCGAAAAAUAAUUUCUAGAAAAUGACUUAUCUUUUUGGAAUAGUUGAUAUUUUCUGGUGUUUGGAUGAAUCUGUGUAAAAUAUUUUCUAUUGUUUAGUAGAGUUCUUGCAAAUAUUUCAUAAAAUUUGUUUUCAAUGAAAAAAACAUACAUUUGAGAUUUUAUUAUCUUUUCAUUGUUUAAUUGAGUUUAUUUCAUAAAGCUUAUUUAUAUUUUAAUUAAUCAUGUUUUAGUUUUAUGUAAUCUUAAUAGUUUUAUUUAAUCUUAAUUUACUUAAUUAAGCUUAAUUGUUAAUUUCAUACAUUAGGGCAUAUAAAUUUAUGUUUAAUUAAGUUGAAAGUGGCAAAUAUAUCAUUUUUAAUAUUAUUUGGAUGAGUAGGUUAAAAAAAUGAUUUAAUUUGAUAAAAAUUGAAGUAAGUAAAUUAUAUGAUUAUGAAAUAUGAAAUUUUGGAAAGUUGAGCAUAACAUAGUAAAGUUUGAAAUUAUAGGGGUUAAAUUGUAAAGAUUUCAAAACUUGAGUUUUAGGACAAACUUACAUUAUUUGAGAAUUUAAAAUUUUGGAAAAUAGAAUAUGAAAGUUUAACUGUUCAAAACUCAAGGACUAAUUUUUGGAAAUUUUGACAAUUUUAGUUGUAAGGACUAAAUUAUUAAAUCUGAAAAUUUUAGAAAAUGGACUAUUUUGCAAAACUAUACAAAACGAGGUUUAGGAUUGAACUGUGGAAUAAGAAAAUCUGUUUUUGAGGAAUUAAAUUGUAGACUAGUAAAAAUUUGGAUUUUAAGGACUAAAUCAUAAAAAAUAUAAAAUUGAAAUACAAUGGGCUAUUUUAUUCGACAGUGAAGAGAGCUUCCCCUCUGUUGCUUUGAAAACUUCCCCUUUUUAUUUCUUCGACAAUGAAGACAUUGAACAAAAUCUUAUCUGCUUAGAAAAUGUCUUACGAAAAAAAAAAUUGGUAUUACAAUCUUCACUUAUCUAUUAUAUUGCUCAAUACAUUCAUGAAUAAUAUUACUAAUUUUGUCAGCUCUAAUAGUUACCAUGAGUAUUUACUAAUUAUUUUUUGGAAGAAAAAAAUAAUACCUACAAUCUACAAUAAAGUAGAAGGUAAAAAAAAAGGCUAAUCAGUUACUUCUUUCAUCACCCCAAACAAGCCAAUAUUAGCGCUAAGAGUGCGAAAAUGUAACUCGCUGUUUACAAAACUAUUCGGAGUUCUUAGAGCUCCUUGUAAAGCUUGUUGGAAAAUUCAUUGUCGAGCUUGAUUAAUUGCUCUUUGUUGUUCAAAAUAAAUGAUUUCAUUUUUGUAAUUUUUUAAUUCAAAAUCUUAUAAAUUGAAUUAACCAAAUUCAAUUUUUCUCGUUCUAUUUCAGAGAAAGCUUUGAUUUUACUCUCUUUUUAGAGAAUAAUUUCUUUUGAUCAUUUAUUUUUCACUAAACAAAUACUGUAAAAUAAUGAAAAUAUUUUACGAAAAAUAUUUUACAUGCAAAACAAAUAGACCAUGGGUAAAUUUUUUUAAAUAUAAAUUACGUUAAAAUAAAAAUAGUUUAUUAUAUAUAAAAGUAAAAUGUGUGCAAACUGCAAAAUCCGAGGGGUGCCAGCCAUACUUGAACUACUAUUUACUGGUGGCCGACUUAUACAUAAUAGUUGUCUGGACAGUUGGCCCAUUAGUGUAAGAUUUGUUAAUUUGAAUAAACUCGAAGCCCAAAACUGACUGAUUUAGGUCAUGAGUUGCAGUGUAGACAAUACCAUUGAAGGUGGCCCAUACCCAGAUGAUAAUCGAAUAUUGAUGGUAAUGAUUUGAUUUCCUCGAUAUUUUUUAAAGAUUAAAAGAAAAUAAUGUUUUAUCAUCAAAUCGAUCCCAUGUGCCUGGUGGGAAUCAAUGCUAUUCUCAACUUGAGAUUUGGAUUUUUUUGUCCAUUUUGCGGAUGGCAUUGGAAAAUUCCGCCCAAACUCACCGGAGACGGAUGAUAAUGUCAAAAUGCACCCAAACUCUUAUUUUUCUUGGUGGGUUAGUCGUUUUAAUGUCAUCGAGGGCGAGGCGACUACAAUGGGAGUUUUAUUAGGGAAUGAUUUUCUUCCAGAAUUCUUGUUUUACCACUUCAAUGCUCUCAUCAUGUAAGACUUUAAAAUUUCAUCCAUAUGUGAAGACAUGAAUUUUAAAUAAACGAAAAAGGAAAAUCAUCAAAAUUAAAUUAUUAAAACCUUAUUUCCCUCUCAAAAGACGUGAUUGAUCUAAGUAAUUGUAGUUAGUGGUAGAGUCAAGAAGUUGGUAACCGCUCGAUUUUCCUAAAUUAAAUUUUUUUUAUAAUUUAUAAAAUUUGAAAUUAAUAAUAAUAAAAUUGUAUUUUAUUUCUUCAAAAAUGAUAACAGAUUUAUCCAAACACUAAAAUAUACUAACUUUUCCAAAAAAAUAAAUUUUUUUAGUGAAAUUAUUUUUCAAAAACCAUGUCGAAUGAAAUAAGCGGAGCCUAAAUAUAAACAUCAUAUAGUAUAUUAAGCCAGCAACAAUAUUAGCACAUGCAACGAUUGCCUUUUGGUUUUCAUUCACAACGUGAGGAGCCUCUGACGUAUCCUUUGGUGUACUGCAGGCCCAUAUUAGGUGAGGAAAGUAGGUAAGGCAUUUAGGAACCAGUUGAUGUUUAUAUGAUGGAAUCCUUACCUAUGAUAACCCAACGCGAACAUUUUAUCCUACUAAAUAUUGCCAAUUACAUGUCGCCUUUCUGUUGCAACCGGCCAUAUGCCAUUUGGUACCUGCUUCAGCUCGUUUGUCUCCAUUUGAUUUCUAAUUUUUUUUAUCAAUUUAAUACUUAAAUUUAGUUUUAAUGUUUUAUUUGAUAAUUGAGUUUUUUUUUAAAUUGAUACUUAAUAUUUUUUUCUGCACAAUUAUUUAAAUUUAACUUCAGUAUUCAAUUUGAUACAUUAAUUUUUCUUUUAAAAUAUGAAAUUUAUUAAGAUAUAUCAUAAAAAAAUUAAAACACCAAGAGUAAAAUAUACACAACAAAACUAUAAUAUGUGCAUUAAAAUUUAUAUAAAUAAAUUUUAAUUGAGCCAUUAAUUACAAAAAAUCCGAAAGUAAACUAAAAUUAACGGGAAUAUGAUGCAUAUAAACGAACAUGCCAAAAUCUACAUGAAUCAAAUUGUUAAUGUAUAAAAAUUAUAAUAAUUUGAACACACAUGUAUGUAUGGCCCAGUCUUAAAUUGUUUUUUAAACUUUGAAAUAUUCUAAUUGAAUCUUGAAAGUAUCAAUAUCACAUCAAAUAUGCUCUUUUAUUAGUCUAGUCAUUAGUUCGGGUGUUAAAUGCUAAUUUAAAAUUGAUGUGGAGCAUAUUUAAAAUAUGUUGAUCAAAUUAUAAACAUAUAUGUAACUAUUGCAUGAAUAACUCAGAUUUAAUGUUUUUAAUUAGAAAAAAAAAUGACCCUCUUGAUACAAUUUAUUUUUCAUAUUUAACAUGUUUAUGUGAUAAGUACACACGUUUUAACAAUUUGUUCACCGUAUUUAAAAUAUACUCAAUGUCAAAUUCAAACUAAUUUCAAUGUCUAAUCUAACAUAAUGACAUGAUUGAUAUAAUAUUAAUAUUUUGAAAUGGGAGUGGACAAGUUAGAAGUGGAAGGCAAAGCAUUAACAAUUAUAAAGAAAAGUCGGUCCAUAGCCAUUGGCAAAUUAGAAAUAAGUGCAUACAUCAGAGACAUUCAUCACAAGAGGAUUUCAAAGCAUUCAUUUCAAACAUGUACAAAGAUCAACCAACAUAAUUGUUGUUCCAAUAGGGUCGGAAGCGUGUAAAUUAUUGUACUAAAAAAAUCACACAAAGUUCAAUUCCCAGGGAAGAGAGGUGGAUCACAUGGAUCUCUUAAAUACCAAGUCUUUCCUUAGACAGAAUAUCCCUUCUAUAGUAAUUUAAUAGCACAAUUAAAUACUACUAUUAUACCCUCAAAUAUUGAAAGAAAAAUAGGACAAGAAAGAACACAAGAGUUUUAACGAGGUUCGGUAAAUUAUACCUACGUCCUCGGGCACUAACACCAAAUGAUAACUUUACUAUCUUCAAAGUAUUACAAACAAAUAGAAUUCCUUAAGAAUUCUCAAAUGGGAGAAAAAGAAAACUAAGAGAGAAAGAUUGGUUGGGAUGAAUUGAAAUGAGAAAUGAGAAGGCCUAUUUAUAGUUGAGGUUCAAGGACCAAACAAUAAAUAGCCCAUUAUCUCAAGGACCAAAAAAAAAUUAUCCCUUGCCACUUUUCUAAAGUUGGUGGUUGUCAUUAUUGAUUGUCUCCCAUUAAUGUUAAUGGCAACCAUUAUUAAUUGUCUUCCAUUAAUGUUAACAAUCUCCACCUUGAAGAUUUGAUUAGGAUAAUCACAUCUUCACACACUUCCUUCAACUCCCCAAAUUCGAUAAAGCUAUCUUUUGUAGUGCCUACAAAUGCGCUCUCGAGCGCCAUACACCUGAAGGUGCUCAAAUUCUCAGGAUUUUAAUCAAGUUCAAACAAUGAUUAAACUUGAUUGUUAUUACCACCUUGGUCAUCAUAUCUGCGAGAUUAUCUGCUGUCGAAAUCUUCUGAAGUAGAAUUUUUCCUUUUUCAAAGACUUCCCGCACAAAGUGAUAUCUUACGUCGAUAUGCUUGGUUCUUGAAUGAUAGACUUGAUUUUUCGCUAAAUGAAUAGCGCUCUGACUGUCACAAUAUAAACUUAUGUGACUUUGAACAACUCCUAAGUCUUUCAACAAUCCAUUAAGCCAAAUAGCCUCCUUAACAGCUUCUGUAACCGCCAUAUAUUCUGCCUCUGUAGUAGAGACAGCUACUGUAGACUGUAAGGUAGACUUCCAACUUACUGGGGCUUUCGCAAGAGUAAACAGAUACCCCGUAGUUGAACGACGUUUAUCUAAAUCACCAGCAAAGUCGGAAUCAACAUAUCCAACUACAAACUGACCAAGUGCUUCAUCCUAUUCAAAAAUUAAACCAACAUCUACGGUUUUUCGAAGAUACCGUAGAAUCCAUUUCACAGCUUGCCAAUGUCCUUUUCCAGGAUCAUGCAUAUACCUGCUCACAACUCCAACAGCUCGUGAAAUGUCAGGCCUCGUACACACCAUCGCAUACAUCAAACUCCCAACUGCAUUAGCAUAUGGGACUUUCGCCAUAUAUUCUCUUUCUUCUUCAGUUUUCGGAGAUAAUUGAGCACUAAGUUUCAAAUGAGAAGCAAGUGGGGUACUUACAUGUUUUGUGUUUUCAUUUACACCAAAACAUUGUAAUACCUUUUUCAGAUAUUGCUUCUGAUUUAAACAGAGCUUGCCUCUCGGUCUAUCUCUACUUAUCUCCAUGCCGAGAAUCUUCUUGGCCUCACCUAGAUCUUUCAUCUCGAACUCUUGAUUCAACUGAGCCUUCAGCUUAUCUAUCUCAUUUUGGCUCUUCGAAGCGAUUAACAUAUCAUCAACAUACAAGAGUAGAUAAAUGAAAGAUCCGUCAUGCAGCUUCUGCAAAUAUACACAAUUGUCAUAUUUGCUUCUUGUGUACUUCUGCCUUCUCAUAAAGCUAUCAAAUCGUUUGUGCCACUGCCUCGGGGAUUGCUUCAAUCCAUAUAGCGAUUUGUUCAGCUUACAAACCCAAUUUCUACCACCAUCAUCUGUGUAUCCUUCGGGCUGAGUCAUAUAGAUCUCCUCUUCUAACUCUCCAUGCAAGAAAGCCGUCUUAACAUCAAGUUGAGCUAGCUCCAAAUUCAACUGUGCUACCAAGGCCAACAAAAUUCUAAUGGAGGAAUGCUUCACAACAGGGGAAAAUACAUCAUUGUAGUCAAUUCCCUCCUUCUGAGCGUAGCCUUUAGCUACCAAUCUUGCCUUGUAGCGAAUAUCCUUCUUGCUAGGAGAUCCAUCUUUCUUUGCGAAUACCCACUUGCAUCCGAUUGCCCUUUUACCUUUCGGUAAUUACUCUAACUCCCAAGUAUUGUUCUUCCGGAGAGACUGCAUUUCUUCAUCCAUGGCGCUUUUCCAUUUAUCACUUUCUAAGCUUUGCAUUGCUUCUUGAUAAGUGAUAGGAAUAUCAUCAACAACGGGAAGGGCGUAGGCCACCAUAUCAGUAAAUCGAGCAGGUUUACGAAUUUCUCUCCUUGGCCUUGCAACUGCAACUGGUUCUGGUGUACUUAGUGGUUCUUGGGUCAGAACCUCUUCAACCUCUAAUUCCUCCAUUGUGGCUGGAGAAUUAGACUUAUUAACUGGGCAAAUCCCCAUCUGCUCAAACUCCACCUGUUUUGGAGUACACUCCACCUGCUGUGGAGUAUUGCUCGUCUGAAUAUCUUUAUCUGCUACCUUUUUCAAUGUGGCAGAUUCAUCAAAGGUAACAUCUCUGCUACAGAUCAUUUUCUUUGUGCUUAAGCACCAAAGACGAAAUCCCUUCACUCCAGAAGUGAUUCCCAUAAAGAGAGCUUUCUUUGCCCUCGGAUCUAACUUUGACUCCUUCACAUGGUAAUAUGCAGUGGAUCCAAACACAUGUAAGGAAUCAUAAUCUGUAGCCGGUUUUCCAGACCAUACCUCCAUAGGAGUUUUUCUUUCUAAUGCAGAUGAUGGCAAACGAUUAACAAGAUGGCCAGCGUAUGUCACAGCCUCAGCCCAAAAUUACUUGCCCAACCCAGCAUUGGACAACAUACAUCGAACUUUCUCCAGCAAUGUUCGAUUCAUACGCUCUGCCAAUCCAUUCUGCUGUGGUGUAUCCCUAACUGUGAAGUGUCGAACAAUACCAUACUCUUGGCACACAUCGAAGAACGGAUCACUUUUAUAUUCCCUUCCAUUGUCCGUCCUAAGCCGCUUGAUUUUCUUGCCAGUCUGGUUUUUGAUCAUAGUUUUCCAUUUAAGAAAAACUCUAAGCACUUCAUCCUUAGUUCUCAUGGUAUACACCCAAACUCUUCUGGAAAAGUCAUCAACAAAAGUAACAAUGUAGUGUUUUCCUCCCAAUGAAGGUGUCUUGGAAGGCCCCCACACAUCUGAGUGAACAUAUUCCAAAAUACCUUUUGUAUUAUGGAUAGUAGUACCGAAUUUCACUCUCUUUUGCUUUCCCAGAACACAAUGCUCGCAAAAUUUUAAUUUGCAAGCCUUUGCACCUUUCAACAAUCCUUGCUUUGCCAGAAUUUGCAAAGAUUUUUCGCUGGCAUGUCCCAACUUCAUAUGCCACAACUGUAUUGAGUCCAAUUCUUUGUUGCCAGAAGCUGCAGCGACUGCUCCAAUAACUGUACUACCUUGGUAGUAAUACAAGUUAUUUUUCCUGAUGCCCUUCAAUAUCACAAGUGCGCCAGAUGUCACUUUCAAAACCCCAUCUCUCAUAGUAACAACUGAACCAUUGGAUUCCAGGGCUCCCAAUGAGAUGAGAUUUUUCUUCAAACUGGGCACGUACCGAACAUCAGUCAGAACUCUGGUUGAUCCAUCUUUAUUCUUUAAUUGGAUUGAACCUAUCCUAACAGUUUUACAGGCAUUGUCAUUGCCCAUAUAAACAACUCCUCCAUUUAGUUCUACUAAAUCAGAGAACCACUCCCGGUUAGGGGACAUAUGAUAGGUACAACCCGAAUCCAAUAUCCACUCAUCUGAAUGGAAUGACGAUGAUGAUGCAACCAGUGAUAGUUUAGAGUCACUGGUAUCAUGCUUUGCAACACAAGCAUCUACAGCAGCUUUUCCCUUAUUCUUCAACUUUGGACAAUUUUUCUUCCAGUGGCCUUUCUCAUGACAAAAAGCACAUUCAUCUUUCCCGAGUCUGGACUUUGACUUUGAUCUCCCCUUUUGAGUUUUCUUCCGAGUGUAUGAACGACCUCGGACUACUAAAGCUUUUGUAUCUCUGAUUGAGUUUUUCUGUUUGUCCUUCUUUCUCUGUUCAUAACUGUAUAAGGCCGCACAGACUUCGCUCAGAGAUAUAUCACUCCUGCCAUGAAGUAGAGUAGUUUGUAGGAACUCAAACUCCUCAGGAAGUGACCCCAACAGCAUCAAAGCCAAAUCUUCAUCUUUGAAUGUCUCAUCCAUAUUCAGCAAAUCAGUGACUAACUGAUUAAAUUUGGUGAUGUGAUCAUUCAUUGUGGUACUUGGGACGUAUGUGAAGCGAAACAGUCUUUUCUUCAAGUGGAGCUUAUUUUGACUGUUUUUCUUCAAAAAAAUUUCUUCAAGUGCCACCCACAACUUAUUUGCAGAAGUCUCCUUUGAAAAAGCAUACCUCUGCUCUCGAGAAAGGCAUGAUCGAAUUGUGCCACAUGCCAACCGAUUGAUCGCCUUCCAAUCUUUCUCCUGUACAUCAUCUGGUUUCUCUUCAUCAAUGGCAAUGUCUAGACCCUGCUGAAAAAGGGCAUCUAGAACCUCACUUUGCCACAUACCAAAAUGGCCCGUGCCAUCAAAGAUCUCCACGGCCAGUCUUGCAUUUGCAAUUGUCGGUCUUGUCCACAUGGACGAUGUUGAAGCUCCUACACCGACCGUUUUCUCCAUAAUCUUUCAAUAUACCUAAGAAAAUCUUUUCUGAUGUGGAAGAUCAGUUCAAACUGCAACCACAGAGUAUACUACGAUUAACCUUCGGCUCUUGAUACCACUUGUUGUUCCAAUAGGGUCGGAAGCGUGUAAAUUAUUGUACUAAAAAAAUCACACAAAGUUCAAUUCCCAGGGAAGAGAGGUGGAUCACAUGGAUCUCUUAAAUACCAAGUCUUUCCUUAGACAGAAUAUCCCUUCUAUAGUAAUUUAAUAGCAUAAUUAAAUACUACUAUUAUACCCUCAAAUAUUGAAAGAAAAAUAGGACAAGAAAGAACACAAAAGUUUUAACGAGGUUCGGUAAAUUAUACCUACGUCCUCGGGCACUAACACCAGAUGAUAACUUUACUAUCUUCAAAGUAUUACAAACAAAUAGAAUUCCUUAAGAAUUCUCAAAUGGGAGAAAAAGAAAACUAAGAGAGAAAGAUUGGUUGGGAUGAAUUGAAAUGAGAAAUGAGAAGGCCUAUUUAUAGUUGAGGUUCAAGGACCAAACAAUAAAUAGCCCAUUAUCUCAAGGACCAAAAAAAAUUAUCCCUUGCCACUUUUCCAAAGUUGGUGGUUGUCAUUAUUGAUUGUCUCCCAUUAAUGUUAAUGGCAACCAUUAUUAAUUGUCUUCCAUUAAUGUUAACAAUAAUUGCUCACAAACUAGCAUCAGAGAGUUUAAGAAGGAACAAGGAGAUUUACCUGGAAGUCGUGGUGCCGGAAUAUGCUCGGGUGUCGCUGGGAUCAUGACAUCAGAGAGAACGAGAACUCGAUUGAAGAGUGUUUUAGGGUUUCUGAAGAUCAAGGAGAACGAUAGAUAGUGAUCUUGGAGAAGACUAAUCGUGAGCCUCGGAGAACUGUAACUGACAAUAGAAGUAAUAUAAGCUUUCUAGAAAAGCUUGAAAUGGGUGACAGUUCAUUUUCAGAUUGCAUUGAGAUUUUUUUUGUUGUUUUUUUACUUUCCUUUUCCUAGAUAGAUGUUUCUGGAUUAAGGCCGUUAGUUUUCGGCCCAUUCUCUUUUGGUUUGCUUAGAUUUUGUUUUUGGAUUUAUUUAAUAUAGUUCAAUCUGAAUAUUUUUUAAUAUAUAUAUAUAUAUGUAUUCUGAAAAUUCAAUUAAAAUAUUUUAAAAUUUUAAAGAUUAGCUACAAUUAAUUAAUUAAAUUAACCUAAGGACAAAUCAUACUCUAUUAUUCCGAAACACCUUUCCUUAGUAGUACGCACAUGCCACCACCAUCUAUUCUAUGGCUAAUUAAAUAAUUAACAUAAAUAAAUUGUUAAAAAAUAUUAUUAUAUCGUCAUAGAAUUAGGCUAUCAAAUUCUCAAACUCUAGAUAGAGAAUUUUUUGGGAACAACCUUAAAAUUAGGGUAUAGAUUUGGUUUGAAAUUAAAAAUUUAAUAUUCUACCCCGUAUAUAUUAUGCUUAAGAAUAAAGGAAGGAAAUGUUCUUCGAAAAAAAAAAACCAAAGAGAGAAGGAAAUGUAUACGUAUGCGAAUAUCAUAUUUUAGAAGCAAUUUUAUAUAUAUUAAAUUACUUUAUUUGGUUGAAAUGUAAUAUUAUGUUGUUUGGGCUGUGGAAUGUAAAAUUAAUUUAAAAAGAUAUUUUAUUAAAUUAUUUUCCGUUAUAAAAAAAUAUAAAAAAAGUUAUUAAACUAUAUUUAAAACAAAAGUGAAAUAUGAAAAAAUAUAAAAAGUUAACACAAUAAUAAUAUAUAAAAGGUUUGACCCAAUCUUUGAGAAGGCCUGUAAAUUUUGUGUUGAUUUUUAAUAAUAUUCCUAGGACAGCCAAUAGGAUUACUCACGGUAAAGAAACGAGUUAUUGGAUUUUAAAGUUGAAACAUUCAUUCAUUAGCAAAAGAAGAUGAAAAAUGGAGUGUUAUUCGUACAAUUUUUCAUGGCAAUUACUCGGCAGAAAACAUCAAACAGAAAAUCCUUAUUACAGGACCAAGUUUACUGAGUUCCGUGUCUUCAACAAAUAUUUAUUCCAAUUUCAAAUGGACAACAACAAAGGGUUCACCACCUCAGUUUCUUAUGAAUCUAUUGCAUAAUGCUUUUUGAAUAAACUGCAAACAAUGUUUGAACAUUACACUAUAAAGUAAUGUUGAAUCACAUGCCGGCUUCAAGCCCUCCAUUCCAACAACAAUUAGGGAUAUGAGUUUUCCUUACCAACAAAUCCUACCCUUCAAGUUCGAGGCGGUUGGUUGGUAAAUGCCUAAUUACCUAUUGAAUUAUUCUCCUGUCCCACACCUAUCUGCUUCUUCUCAUAAUUUCUUCUGACUUGUUUUUAGUUUCUCACAUUAGAUUUCUAAUUUUAUACAAAGAUUUUCUUCAGAAAAUAUAAAGUCAGUUUUAAUCUAUUGGUUUCUCCAACAUCAUUUUGUCUGACUUGUUUUUUGUUUCUCACAUUAUAUUUUUAAAUAUAUCAUCAAUUCUUUUAUACAAUUAAACGGUAAAUUCACAAACAUAAAAUUUAACUCGAAUUUUUCAUCAAAAAGAGUUCAAUUUCAUUAACUAUGGAAAUUCAAUUGACCAAUUAUUCCCAUCUCUAUUUUUUUUCCUUAAAAGAUAAAAAUAAUUGCAAAAUAUAAAAAAAAUUAAAAAAAUGUUGAGAAAGAAGAUAUCAUUUCUUUUUACGUUUAUUUUUUUGUAUUUUCCUAUAAUUAAGAAUAAAAAAAUUAUUAAUUAGAUUCUUAACAUUAUUAAUUUUUUUUUCAAAAAUAAAAUAAAUGUGAUUGGGUUAGGUAUGGAUUAUUUUAACUUAAAUUAUGGUUGGGUUCUCUCUAUUUUGUUUAAUUUUAAGAAAAUAGUUCCUAUAUUUUUAUAGUAUCAUUAAUGAGUACAAAUAGUUAACACCCUUAGUUAUUUUGGUUUAAUUGUUGAAGCGAAAUUUUUUCUGAAAAAUACAGAUUUUAAUUUAUCAUAUAGAGAUAGAUAUUUUUGCAUGGUAGGUGUUUUAAAAAGAAAUUAUCUCCACAUUUUAUCAAAAUAGUUGUGGAUACCAAGCAUAUCUUAUGGAAAUGGAACUCUAACUUAGAAGUUUUCGAUCGGUAAGAGGUGUACAUUAGGGAUGUCCAUUGUCUCUUUAUUUAUUUGUCUUGUGUAUGGAAUGGCUCAGACAUACUAUUCUUUCCGAUGUCAACUCUGGGCGAUGGAUUCCUAUUUGUCUAUCUCGUUCAAGUCCCUCUCUUUCCCAUCUUUUCUUUGCUGACAACUUGAUUCUCUUUGGUCAAGUUGGGGAAAGUCAAGCUAGGGUUCUAAAAGAAGUGUUGGACAAUUUUUGUGACUAUUCUAGACACAGGAUUAAUGCUUAUAAAGCUAAUAUCUGUUUUUCAAAGGGAGUGAAUGAUGAGUUAGCAGGACGCGUAUGUCAUAUCCUCGGGUUUCAUAGAGUUCAAAAUCUUGGAAAAUAUUUGGGUGUUCCUCUCUUUCACGAUAGAGUGACUAACAAUUCUUUGCGUUUUAUCGUUGAUAACGUCCGUAGUAAAUUACAAAGUUGGGACACUAGGAAGUUGUCACUAGUCGGAAGGGCCACUUUGGCCCAGUCGGUUUUGAUGGCAAUUCCUAGCUAUUUUAUGCAAUCAAUGAUGAUUCCCAAAGGGCUCUGUAAUAUCCUGAUUUUGGGCCUAGUCGGAAUAGUGGUUUCGUGACCACAAAAUCCGAGAUAGAAAUAAUUAUUUUAUAAUUAUUUUGAGGUCUAUGAUAUGAUUGCAUGAUUGUGUGAAAAUUUCGUGAAGAAAUUUUAUGCAUAAAGUGCUUAAAUUGAAAUUAGGGAAUAACUCGAAUAAUUUGUAAAACUUGCAUUCUAGAAGUUUCUAGUAUGAAAUUGUUUUGAAAUAUUAAUUAGGAGGUCUUAAAUAGAAAAUUUACCAAUUUCUAAGUCUAUGGAGAAAAAUUGGACAUGGAUGGAAUUUUUGGAAAGUUUAGUAGUAAGGGCAUUUUGGUCAUUUAGGGGUAAAAUGAAUUAAAAUACAAAAUUAAAAGCCAAUUUUGCUCAUCUUCAACCCCAUGGCCGAAUACAGCAAGGAGAAACCAUGGCUAGGGUUUUUCAAGCUUCCAAGCUCGAUUGUAAGUCCGUUCUAGUCUCGUUUUUAAUGAUUUUUACAUUUUUGGAAUCCCAGUAAUUUGAUUUAACUUAUUCUAACAAUAAUUUAACCUAGGUUUUAUAUUUGGAAAAAUACCCAUAGGUGAAAUUUGUGUAUUUUGGUGUUUUAUGAUAGAAUAUAAGGUUUUAAAUUAUGUUAGACAACUUGUGCUACUCGGUUUUAAGUGAAAACGAGCAAAAGGGCUUAAUCGGUAAAAAUACCUAAUAGUCAUAAGUACAUGUUAGAGUGAGAAUUUGAUGUUGCCAUAGAAGGGAAAAAUGAUCAGCAUGUCAUAAAACAUAAGAAAAUAGGCUGAAGUUUAAUUUACGAGCUUUGGGUCAAAAGUGUAAAUAUGUAAAAGUUUAGGGGCAAAACUGUAAUUUUUCCAAAAUAUGAUUUUGGGUCAAUUUGAAUAAUGUGAGUCCUAAUUAGACUAUAUUUUAAAUGAUAGAGCAAGGAAAACUAAAAUUCGGGCUAAAAUAGGGAAAAUACCAAGUUAUGGACGAAAUGGUAAAAGUAGCAAUUUUCGCAUACGAGGUAAGUUCAUGUGUAAAUAAUGUAGCAUAAUUGUUAUUUUUAAGUUAUUGAUGUUAAUUAUAUGAUACGCUGAUUUUUAAUCGUGAAAUAUUAUGCUUUGUGGUUAAUGUUGAGUAAUAUGCAAAUUAUGUUUACUACUUGAUAAAUAUGAAUUGCUACCGAGUAUCGGUUCCGAUAUUCCAUGGAAGACGACAAAUGUGAGAUCGAGGGAAAAAGCCCGUUUGAACCUUAGGAAUAGAUUAGGAUACAAGUGACAUGUCACUAGGAUGUUUGAGCAUUCGAACUCGUUGAGUUGAGUCCGAGUUCACUUAUGGAUGCGAAUGUCUGAACUCGUUGAGUUGAGUCCGAGUUCGAGCGAUGUAACUAGGCAUCCGAGCUCGUUGAGUUGAGUCCGAGUUCACUUAUGGAUGCGAACACCCGAGCUCGUUGAGUUGAGUCCGAGUUCACUUAUGGGCGGGUUACAUGGUAGCUUGGCUACAUAUGUGGCACUUAUGUGCAAACUUUCCAUGUAUCCGAAUUAUAUUCCGAUGUGUUCAACGGGUAAAAUUCUACUCAAAUGGAGGAAUACUCGAGAUGAAAGGGACGUAUUGGUAAGUGUUGUGAAAUGAAUACUUUGAACAGGUAUGUACUUAACCCUCGGGUUGAAAACUCGAUAUAACAACAAUAUGGUAAGAUGAUAAAUGAAAAUGUGAUAUGAAUGUCUCGAUGAUGAUUUUGCAAAUGAUGUUUUAUGUUUGCUUAUAUAGUUAUGUUACUUGCUAUUUGCAUGUGAACUUACUAAGCAUUUAUGCUUACUCCCUCCUUUUCAUUCCUUGUAGUGUUGACAAGCCAGCUCGGAAAUCGGAAACGGUCAGAGGCACGCUCACACUAUCCGUAUACCAUCUUGGCAUAAUGGCUUGUAUAUUUUGAGUAUGACAUGUAUAGCAUUAUAAUCAUUUUGUGUAUAUGGUCUUAUGAUAUGGUUAUUGAGUGGUAUGGAAAUGCUUGGUAAUGAUUAGCCAUUGGAAUGGGUAAUCAUGAUCAUAUUUGGUGUUAUGUAUGCUAAAUUGCUAGCUAAUCCAUGGAAACCAUGAAAUAGGUAAAAUUUACCAUAAAAUAGAUUCAGACAGCAGCAGUGACGUGAGUUUGAAAAAUCACUAAAAAUAGUAUAGAUACAAUUAGAUGAUGAAUAAUAUAUGGAAUUGAAGAAUUAUGAGUCUAUUUUCAUAUGGAUGGAACAAAACAGGUAUAUGAGUUAUAUUUUAUGAGAUGUUUAAAUUUUUGUGAAACAGGCCCAGAGCAAUUUCUGGAUCCCCUGUUCUGACUUUGGAAAUUCACCAUAAAUUGUUCAAAGAUAAUUAGAAGUCAUAAUUUAUAUGUACAGAUUCCUUAUUGAGUCUAGUUUUAUUAGAAACAAACCUUGUAGUCAUUGAAAUUCUUUAUAGAGAGAUAUCUGAUUCGUAAUACACAGAUGUCAGAGCAGUCGAACCCUGAAACAGGGGAGACUUUAACUAAUAAAAUGUACUAAUUUUAUCAACCAAAAAUUCUAUAAAAAAAAUUAGUAAAUAUAUAUAUGAGUCUAGUUUCAGAAAAAAUUUACGGAAUUGGAUUUCGAGUUUCGUAACUCGAGAUAUGAAUUUUUAAGCGACUAUGACGCAGAUUGUUAGCUUGACUUAAAAUUUUAAAAAUAAAUUGUUUGAGCUGUUUAAGUAAUGAAUUAAGUCUAUUAACACCUCGUGUUCGACUCCGGCGACGGUCUCGGGUACGGGGCGUUACAGGCUCUAUGAGGAAAUAGAAUGAAUUGGUUAGACAAUUCAUCUGGGGGUCUUCUAAUGGUGAGAAGAAAUUGGCUUUGGUUAGUUGGGACAACAUUUGCCAACCUCGGGAUCAUGGUGGUCUAGGUUUUCGAAAGUUGAAAGAUCAUAACACCUCUUUUAUGAUGAAAUUGGGUUAUAGUAUUAUAACUGAUUCUAAGGCGCUUUGGGUUAUGGUUCUAAGGUCCAAAUACAAUAUUUCAAGUGGAUUUCCAGAAACAUUGUCGCGGGGAAGAGGUUCUUUCUUGUGGACAACCCUCACUAAAGCUUGGCCACUUAUUCGAGAGAAUUUGAUAUGGUCAGUAGGGGAUGGUACUAAAUAUUAGGUGUUUGUGUGACCCUUGGAUCUUGAAAGCGGGAUCGUUGGCUAAUAUUAUUCUUAGACAUUCCACUCUAGACAUGGAUUGUCUUUUGAGUGAUAUGGUGACAAAGGAUGACGAUUAGAACCUAGAUCUCUUUCGUCUUUGGCUCCCAAAGGAGGUGAUUUGGAAGAUUGUAGAGAUCCCUCUGCCUCAUCCGGAAGCAGGGCCUGAUAGGAUAAUUUUAGGAGGUAUCUCUACAGAUUCAUUUUCCCUAAAAAAAGCCUAUAAGAAGCUCCAAAAAAGGUUAUGGAAUCCAAAAGACCGAUGUGGCGCAUCCCCUAAAAAUUUUAAGGGCCCUGUGACAGCCCUAAAUUGACCCUAGUCGGGAAAUGGUUUCGGGACCACAAAACCGAGUCAUAAAAAUAAUUAACCGUUAUUUUCUAUGCUUAUUGUGCGUGAACAUGCAUGUGUGAAAGUUCCAAUCUUUAAUUUAUUCAUUUGAAUGUGAAUUUAUUUAAUAGGACUUAUAUAAGACAUUUUUAAAAUGUGAUAGGUUAAUGUGUAAGGGUCUAUUAAUGCAUGUUAUAAAAGUAUGGACUUGCAUGUCAAAUUGUCCAUUUUAGUUAGUGGCCGGCCAUGUUGUUAAUUAUUAUAUAACAUAGAUAUAUUUAUUUCUAUUAUAUGGUUUUAUAAUAUAGAAUAAGGUUAUUAAAGAUAGAAAAGGGGUGAAGAAAAAAAAAGAAUUCAUCUUUACUUCCUUCUAGCCGAAAAUAAGAGAGCAAAAGAGGAAAUAGCUUAAGUCUUUCGGUCACCUUUGAGCUGGAAAUUAAGGUAAGAAAUUCAAGUUAGUUUUUUUAAAUCUUAGCAUAGUUUAAGCUAGAUCCUAAGUUCCUUACUUAGCCCAUGCCAAAAUUUUGAAGUUGAUGGUGAUAUGAACAUUCGGCUAUGGAAGAUGUUAAAGAGAAUGGUUGUAAUGUUAUAUAUAUUUUGAUAGUAUAUUAGAUGGUUUGAGAUUUGAGCUAGUUACAUGUGCUAUUAUGAAGAUUUAUGGAUGUUUUAGAAUCGGCCUAAGUGUUUUAGUCAUUAAUAUAUAUAUUGCCGAAUGGAUGCUUAAGGAAUUGGUUAAGUACAUUGUUGUUAAAGCUUGUUGUUUUUGUAUAAUUGUUGCCUAGCUACUAAAUGAACUUAGGGUAUUAUAGAUAAGUUUAAGAGUGGCAUAAUUGAAAUGAAGUUUCCUUGUGCCGAAUGUGGUUUUAGUGCAUGAAUUAGGAGUUUAAUUUCAUUCGGUAACUCAUACCAAAUUGGGAGAUAGUAUUAAACAUUAGUAUUAUUUGUUAAAAAAAAAUUGAAGUGAGCUUUGAAUGGUUGUUUUGCUUAUAAUGGCUGAAUGUGAACUUAAGUUUUGAAUUACAAUUGAAGCUUGUUAGUCAGUUGAUGAUGUCCUUUGAUAGCCCUUUUGAUAUUCGGCCAUUGUUAAUGAAUUUUGAAUUAGUUAUAAAUUUCUAUGUUUUAAUUAGCAAAUUUAAUUAUUGAAGGUUGAGCUAAUUAUAUAUGAUGAUAUGCUCUAAACUCAAAUGGUAAGUUCUUAAGUGUUUGGACUUGGAAAUUUAAGAGCAAAUUGUAAUAAUCUGCUUAGGACAGCAGCAGUAGCGUGAUUUUUGAAAAUCACCAUAAAUUGUUGGAGUGGAAUUAGAGACUGAAUAAAAUAUGUAAUCAAAGCUCAAUGAGUCUAGUUUCUUAUAAAAUAAACAGUGAAAGCAAAGGAAUUUUCUAUAGAGAGAUAUUUAAAGUUGUGUGUGACAGUGUCAGAAUGAAUCCGUGAUCCCUUGUUCUGUUUUUAGAAAAUCAUUAUAAAUAGUACAAAAAUUUUUAUAAGAUAAAAUUUAUAUUCUUAGACUCCUUAAUGAGUCUAGUUUCAAAUUAAAUAAACAAGAACAUAUUUUGAAAUCUGUACAAUGAGAAAUUUGAUUCGUAGUGAAGAGUGGUCAGUAUAGUCAAACAGUGAAAUAGGGGAAACUUUAAGAAAAUUCUGGUCUUGAUUGGCCAAACCAAAAAACCUUAAAAUUUUAUGGAUAAAAGGUAAAUGAGUCUAUUUUCAAGAAAAAUUUAUGGAAACUGAUUUGGAGUUUCGUACCUCCGGUUAUAAAUAAUUUAAUGACUGUUGCUCAGGAAGUCAGCUUAUAGUGAAAUUGUGAUUAUAUUGUAAACAUUGAUUCUUAUAAGCUUACUAUAAUCUGUAUGUGUGAAAUUCGAAUAUAUAUGUAUUAUAUUCUGAAAAUGAUAUUUGAAUAGUCGAUUAAUGAUUAGUUUAAAAUUUGUUGAAUUAAAGCUCAAGAGCAUAGGGGGGCAACUUCGAAUAAGGGAGAAGAGAAAGUAACCGAGUAACCAUUUCGCAACCGUUCAAAUAUAUCCGAGGUAAGUUUUAAGUAGUUUCCUUUAGUAUAUAAUUGACGAUGCCACUAUAAGGGUAUAGUAGGUAAAUUGUGAUCUUUGGCUUGCACUUAAAUUAAGAUGUAUAAUAGAUAAUGCAUGUAUAUGACUUAUAGUUUGAUGGCCACUUUGAAUUUAAGAUUAAAUGAUGAAUAGAAUGAGUGAUAUGAGAUAUAACCACUGAGCUGAAAUGUGAAUGAUGAUGUGCGUAUCGAGUUUAUAUUCGAAUGUAAUAUACGACUAUUAAGUGAUAAGGUGACUGUCAUGUGUUAUGACCAAAUGUGUAUGAGAUUGAAAAUAUCCGGACAUGAGGUCUGCAGGCUAUAUGCUGGAAAAAUAUCCGGACAUGAGAUCCGCAGGCUAUAUGCUAGGAAUAUAUCCGGACUUGAGGUCCGCAGGCUACGUGCUGGAAAAAUAUCCGGGUUAAAGACCCGCAGGCUUACGCUAGUAAUGUAUUCCGAGCUCUAAGAUUUGACAGAACCGAUGCCAGUAAGUUAAAUAAGAUUUCGACUUCGAAUAUCAGUGGUAAACAUCGUUGCGUAAGUAUUAUAUGUUUUACAUGUUAAGGUUCGUGUUAUGUGCUUAUAGUUGAAUUGAUUUUUUUUAGUGAUUUAAUAGUAUCAAGGCACGAAAUAUAUAUAUGUGCGUGAAUGAAUUCGGUAUUUGAGGAUAAGACAAUAAUAUAAUUGGUUAAUGUAAGUCACCAUAUGAAAGAAUGUGAUUAAAGGUAUUAGUAUAAUCUAUGUAAAUAGUGAAAUAUUUGCAAGAAGUCUUGUGUAUACAUACAUACAUAUCCGGUCAAGCGGUUUGUAACUAAUGUACUGAUGUAUAUUUGGUCAAGUGAAUUACAAUUAGAAUACAAGUUUUGUGAUACUCAAUGUUCAAUUUUUAUGAUGAGCAUUAAUAGUAUGAAUUACUUAAAACUUACUAAGCCUCGAAAGCUUACUCUGUUUCUUAUUUCUUUGUUUUAUAGAUUGUUGAUUUUGGCUAUUGACUCGGGGAUCGUCAGCAGUUCUUCAUACUAUCGAUCUUUUUGGUACAGUUAUAUUUUGGACUCGAUAUAGCAUGUAUAGGUUGGACUGUUGACAAAGAAAAAAAACAAAAAAAAAUAUGUUUUAAAAUUGUAAUUAUCUUGGCCGUAUGAAAAUGGCACUUAUGACUUAUAAAUAUGUAUGUAUUCAGUUCGAUUUAUACUUGUGUCGGUAGAUUAUGUGAUUGAAAUUAAAUGUUUAGCUUGGUAAUACCUCAUAGCCUAUACCGGCGAUCGGAUACGGGCUAGGGGUGUUACAGGCCCCAACAGGUUAGGUUCUUUAUUUGGCUUGCUUUCAAUCAACGCCUGCUUACCAAGAGGGAACUCGCACGAUGAAGACUAGGGCAUGAUUCAGUAUGUGACGUUUGUGGUCAUGGUUCAGAGGAUGUGUGUAAUACCCCCUACCCAUAUUCAUUACCGGAGUAGGAUACGAGGUAUUACCGGAGUUUACGAUUUUUUUUAUAUUCAAUAUAGCCCCUUUAUAAAUAUCUAACCUUCCCUGCAACAUUAAAUCGAGACCAAUCCACUUCAACCAAACCAAUUCAACAUAUUUUCAAGAUAAAUUCAUGCAUAUUUAUAAGAUAACGUCAUCACAUACCCAAAACUAGGUUUGUUAACCAUACUAAUGGCUAACUUUAUAUUCAUUUCAUGUUAACAUUUACUUUAUUAGCUUAUACAUGCCAUUGAUUUCCAAAAUAAAGUUUCUUUAUAUACCGAAAUCCUGAGGUUGAUAGUGUGAUGUGUCUCCGACCAAAUCCGACCUCCAAGCUCUUAACACUACAAAACAGGGAAAAAGGAAACGGGGUAAGCACUUCGUGCUUAGUAAACUCAUGUAACAAAAAUUAUACUUACCUAAUAUUUUCAAUACAAUACAAUAAAUAUUCAUAUAUCCAUUCAAUGCAGUAUUACCCUAAUAUGCACAAACUCAACAUUCAAGUUAGUAUAAUAAUUUCCAUGUACCAAUAAUAUAUACCAUCAUUGAUGAGCUCAUCAAUAUCAUAAUUUCCAUUUCCUUGUUAUUUUUCCAUAUUUAUCCCGUUGAAUUUAUCGGAAUUUCGAUGGAUUUUCAGAGGUACACUUUUAGUGUACAAUUCCGGGUCCGUCAAUUCAUAUUCAUGUGCGCACAUUUCCAUUUCAGAGAGCACACUCCCGCGAACCUUAACCUUGCAGCGGGAUUACCAGUCCAGGCUAAAUCCCCUGCAACGACAAUUACUCUAAUGAUCUUGGAUCUGAAUUACUAGUCCAGGCUAAAUUCAGACCCUAAUUCGGAUUACCCGUACGGGCUAAAUCCAUUUUACACAUAUUCUUCGGGAGGGCUAUAUCAGGAUAGGAUCACCCGUCCGGGCUAGAUCCUUUUUACCGUCAAUUCCUUUUCAGAGAUCCAUCGAAUUUUCCUUUCAUUCAAACGGGAUUUCUUCCCAUUUUAUCAAAUAUAUCAAUGUUUCAUUAAUUUUCAUACAAUGAACAUUCAAAUCAUAUUCACAUCAAUAACAUACAAUCUCAAGCAAUUUAAGAAUAUAAUUCAAGUUGCACGAACUUACCUUGAUACUUGUUUGUAAACAAAAAAAAAUCUACUAAUCCCGAACUUUUUCCUUUCCUCGAUCUAGCUUCGUAUUUGAAUCUUCUGGAUCUAAAUAAAUAAAUUUAAUUAUCAAUUUAAUACAUUUCAUGUUCAUAUGCAACAUUCUCUAUAAUUCAACUAUUAUUAUUUAUAGUUUAUUCAAAGCUAUCUAUUUGAGUCAUAGUCACUAAUUAUUUAUAACUCGAUCUACGGAACUCCAAAUUAAGAUCCGUUAGUUUUCCCUGAAACUAGACUCAUAUAUAUUCUUACCAUAAAAUUUUUAGAAUUUUUAGUUUAGCCAAUAAGUACAGUUUAUUCUUUAAAGUCACCCCUGUUCUGCUGUCUGACAGUUCUGACCCUUCUUCACUAAAAAUUAAUUAUCUCUUCAUACAGGAUUCAAAUGAUGUUCUUGUUUGUUUCUAUUAAAAAUAGACUCAUUAAGGAUUUUAUGCAUAUAAAUUUGAGCCCCUAAUUAUUUUUAUUCAAUUUUUUUUUAUUUUUCAAAUUCAGAACAGGGGAACCCGAAUUCAUUCUGAUCUUGUCUCACAAAAUUCAUUAUAUCUCAAAAUUUACAAAUCCAUUGCUUACACUAUUUCUUCUAUGAGAAACUAGACUCAAUAAGCUUUAAUUCCAUAUUUUGUUCAUCUUCUAAUUCGAUUUAUAAAAUUUAUGGUGAUUUUUCAAAGUUAGUCUACUGCUGCUGUCCAAACUGUUUUUGUGCAAGCUGUUUAUUACCAUUUUUCCCCUAAGCUUUUAAUAAAUGAUAAUUUCGUCCCUACUCAAUUAGCCUCUCAAUUGAGCUGAUUUUUCUCAAUUAAAAUUUUAUUAUAUCACCUUAAACUAGUUUACAACCUUUAGGAAUCAUAAUUUCAGCAAUAGACUUUAAUUCCAAGCAUUUUCACAAUUAGGUCCUAAAAAUCAAUUUCUAUUGAAAUUACCUAAUAAAAUCAUCUCAUAAACAAAUUAAAGCUUUAAUUUCAUUAUAUUUCAUCAUAAAAUUACAAAAAUCAACCAUGGUGACUUUCAAUUUCAUACAUGAAAUCAAAAACUAAUGAAUUUAAUAGUAGGACCUAGUUGUAAAAGUCUUAGAAACAUAAAAAUUACAAGAUAAAGGCAAGGAUUAACUCACUUGGUGAAAAAGUAUGAAAUAGCAGCUUAUAUAACCCUCCUAUGGCGUUUUUAGCUGCUGGAAUUGAAGAGAAAUGAAGAGAAAUUUAGAUAUUUCCUAUUUAGUCCUAGUUUUAUUUAGUUAAUUUUGCAAUAUUCCAAUUUUGCCCUUAAUUUAUCAAUUUUCCUGCUGAUUUCAUGCCCUUUCUGUCCAGCCAUAAUAAAUUUUGGGUCUAAUUUCCUUUUAAAACCUUUAUCAUUAGACUCUUAAGCUAUUUAAUCAUUCUAGCAACUUUUACACCUAUUACAAUUUAGUCCUUUUCAUUUAAUUGACUACCCAAACAUUAAAAUUUCUUACGAAAUUUUAAUACCACAUUACUAACAUUUCAUAAAUAUUUAUAAAAUUAUUUUAGACUCGGUUUUACGAGAUAGAGGUCUCGAUACCUUGUUUUUACCCAAUUUCUUUAAUAAUUUCUUUUUCUAACUAACCACUAAAUCGGUAAAAUUUUUUCUAUCAAUAUUUUCAUAUGAUUUUCCUAUCAUAUCAAUUUUCAUGCAAAAAUAUUGAAAUAAAUUUCUCUUUAAAUUGGAUUUGUGGUUACGAAACCACUAUUACGAUAACCUUGAAUUUAGGCCAUUACAAUGUGCUUCAUGUUAUUAGGGAUUGUCCUGCAACGAGAAAUAUUUAGGAUCAUCUAAUUCCAGUCGAAUGGUAUUCUAUGUUCUAUGCAGGAAAUUUAUAUGAGUGGCUUGUGUUAAACUUGGAAAAUUAGCAUGGUUGGUGCUUCGGAGAUGUAGAUUGGCAAUAUCUAUUUGGGAUCAUCGCUUGGCAUAUUUAGAAGAAUCACAAUCUUUUCCUUUUCCAGGGUGCUCCAUGGAGUGAUAAUGAAACUAUUAAGGUGACGUAUAGUUGGGCAAAACAAUACGUCUCUUCUACAAGGGGCAUGUCAACUGAAACACGAUGUAAGUUUUCAUCUUCAUAUUUAACUAACGAUUGGGUCACAUUGAGUAAAGAUGGAUCUAUCUAGAAAGAAGUUGGUUUUGCGGCGGUAGGGGGAAUAGUGCAAGAUCAAGGUGGAACGUGGAUUCUUGGAUUUAAUAGAUAUUUGGGAAAUUUUUUUGUUUUUUAUGCUGAGUCGUGGGGUAUUUUGGAUGGUCUGAUUAUUUUAAGUGAACGGGGCUAUGACAAUGUGUUAAUUCAAUCUGACUAUCUUGAGCCGGUUACGACUAUUCAAGAGAGGUCUUCAGAAGGAUCCAAUUAUACUUUGGUUAGGAGAAUUCAUUAGAUGUUGUCAUGGUUCAAACAGUGGAGCUUUAGACACAUUUCUAGCAAGGAAAAUCAGGAUGCUGAUCAUAUGGUCAAUCUAGUCCAACAUAGAACUAAAGAUUUACGUUUGUUUGAGAUCUCCUAGUUUGAGGGAUUGGUCUGGUUUUUGUUAUAAGUUUAUUUAUUUUACUUUUUCACCAAAAAAAAAAGUUGUGGAUAAUAAAUAUUUAAACUAAUUAAUAUCAUUACAAAAAUAGAUAAUUAAAUUAUGUUAAAUUAAAAUAUAAAGAUUAAAUCAAAAUAUGAUGAUAGUAUAGAUUAAGUUGCUCCAUUAUAGUGCAGCAUGAAAAAGGACAACGGAAAAGAGUUAGGCGGGUUUAGACUUCUUGCUUUUCUUUUUGUUUUCUCUCUUGUGAUCCACGUCCGUUACAUAAAUUAUUUCAAAUUCCUUUUCAUCAAAUGUGAUUACACCUCUUUCGUCAAAAGUUUGAAAAUCCUCUUUGUAAUGUUAAAUAAGCCCUUAAAAUCUACCUUUUUUUAUUAUUAUUUACGUUUUUUCAGACUUUUCUUUUUGGUAUAAUAUUAUCUAAUAAUUAUGUGUUAGAUAUCACAUUCUUACUUAAUCACAUUAAUUUUUUAAAUAAAAUUGAUAUUUUUAUUUUUAAAAAAAAGGCAAGUUUGUAUGUUCUUAUAUGAGUUUUUUUUAAUAUAUCUUUUAAUAGAAACUUUUUAAUCGUCGGUAUUACUAGGAUAUGUUUUAAUUAAUCGAUCAACUAUCAUAUAUUAAUUUCUCUAAACACAUAUUAGAAUUUGAUAGUCCAAAUUUACCGGCAUUAUUCUUUUAUCCUUCAAAUCAGAGUCAUUGGCGGGACUUCCUUUUAAGAUAUCCUCAAGCAUAUCAGUUACAACCUUGCUAUCACAUUCAAUUAUUGUUUUAUAAUAGCUCCUCAGUCGAACUCAAAGUAAUAAUUGCCCACAAUUCAGCGGUAAGCACAGAACUUGUGUUGCUGGUAAUCUGCUGGAAAAUAAUUGCCCAUUCUCAUCAUCAAAUUGCCGAAGGGAAUCACAAGAAAUAGGAAACAAACCAAGGCUAAAACCAACAUGAUUUGGUAGCCUAAAUCAUCAUCUCUUUUGAAAUGACCAUAUCUUCUGUGAUAUCGCUUCAUUUUCUAUACAAUAUAGUACUAUCCUGGACCACCUUUCUUUUUUCAUAAAAAGAUUAAUAAUAAGAAGAAGAAGAAAAAAUAAUAAUAAUAACGUCGAGUGUUAUUCCCUAAUGCCUAUAUUAUUACUUUGAAGAACCUCUUCAGAGUGGCUGGUAAUCUGCUGGAAAAUAAUUUUGUUCCUAUUCUUCCACAAAAACCAACAAGCGACAGCAAACGUUACACCCUAAUCUGCUAUCCUCGAAUUCAAAGUAAGUGAGAAAAAUGAUAUAAUUUAGAGCUUAAUUUUAUAAUUAAGGCAAUAAUUAUUCAAAGUAAAAUUUAGAUGGGAUUCCAAAUAAAAGAAAUUAACUCCUCAAUUAGCACUUGCUUGAAGUCAGAUCUCUGGACACACCCUUCGUCACACCUUGGAUUAAAAUUCAGGUGUUAAAAGUUUGUAAAUAUAGGCAUUAGGGAAUAACACUCGACGUUAUUAUUUUUAUUUUCUUCUUCUUAUUAUUAUUAAUCUUGUUAUGAAAAAAGAAAGGUGGUCCAGGAUAGUACUAUAUUGUAUAGAAAACGAAGCGAUAUCCCAGUAGAUAUGGUCAUUUCAAAAGAGAGGAUGAUUUAGGCUACCAAAUCAUGUUGAUUUUAGCCUUGGUUUGUUUCCUAUUUCUUGUGAUUCCCUUCGGCAAUUUGAUGAUGAGAAUGGUUGUCUUUUUCAGUGGCAAGUCACUACUCCAAGCCAUGCCAAGCCAGCAAUCUUAUAUUUUAUGCCGUUACACUAUUGUUUGGAGACAAGGAAUAAAACAAUCGGGAUACGGUUGAUGAAAGUGAAAACCCCAGAAACUUUUGACUAGGUUUGCAACACUUCAGCCCAGGGUUUGAUUGAAUAACGGUGAAUGAUACUUUUUUACAUGGAAAAAAAGGCUUGCUGGUCAAGGCAAAUACUCACCAGUCACCAAAGAGCAUAUAAAUAUGCUUUUAAACAGAGAGAGGCUAGCCUUUAACAAAGUUUGGAGUAAGUUGAAACUCCAAAUCCCUGAGAGUAUUUCAUUUCGAACUUUUAUCAAGUAAAUGUUUCUCAAUCUCUCUUUUCAUUAUUCUGUUCUGUUCUUAUCUUUGUCUUUUUCCUUGGUGACUUGGGAGGGUAUCUCAAGUUUGGUUUAUGCUCAAAUGAUGCCUUUAUAGAAAAAUUUUCUUCACUUUCUGUUGCACUGCUGAUAAAGCAUAACUGCAGCUUUUGCAAAUUUGUUUUUUUUUUUUUCCUUUAGACGGGUGCUUGGGAGUCAUUGUUGCAGAGAAAUUUCCUGUUAAUAAUAGGGGAACAAUCUUGCUUAAAUUAAUUGGCUUAAAUUAAUUGAUUUGUUUGCAGCAGCCACAACAUAAUAAAUCCUAUAGAUUCUGAAGUUGUUGAGUAUCAAAGUAAUUGCUUGGGAGCCACUCAAUGGCCUCCGAGAAUGGUUUUAAUGGUGAGAAAGUUACCGACUUGCAUGAAGCCGGUACAUCGAAAAGCCAGGAAGAGUCACAGAAAGUCCCUGGCGAUAAUGGAGAAAAUCAAGAUCCUGAAAGCAGCAAAGGAGAUGAGAAAACUAACACGGUUCCAUUUUACAAGCUGUUUGCAUUUGCUGAUUCUACGGAUAUCUUAUUAAUGAUCGUCGGCACAACCGCUGCAACUGGGAAUGGUCUAUCUAUGCCCCUUAUGACAAUCCUGUUUGGGAAUCUCAUUGAUUCUUUUGGAACAAACCAGAGUAAUGGCAACGUGGUUGAAGCUGUCUCCAAGGUAUUUCUGCAUGUAGCACGAACAUAGCUGGUGUGUCUUUUUACUUUUAGUUUAUUGUUUUGUUUAAACGUCUCACAUGGGGAUUAUUAACUGAAUUCUUAAAACCAUAUCUAAGGUUUCUGUGAGAUUUGUCUACCUGGCGAUGGGGGCUGCGGCGGCUGCGUUUCUCCGUAAGAAAAUCUCUAAUUUAAAUCAUAUUGCCUGAUGUUUAAUGUGGCUUCAGACUCAUGCUGAAAAGCUUGGAUAUUGUUAUUUUUUUCAGAGGUGAGUUGCUGGAUGAUCACAGGUGAGAGACAAGCUGCACGAAUACGGGGCCUGUACUUGAAAACCAUAUUGAGGCAAGACGUUGCUUUCUUUGAUGUGGAAACAAACACAGGGGAAGUUAUUGGAAGAAUGUCGGGGGACACAGUUCUCAUACAGGACGCCAUGGGCGAAAAGGUAUACGACUAUACUAUCCUAGUCUUGACUAGGAUGUUUAGAAUCUUCGUUGAGUAAGAUGUUUUCAUUGGAAUCAUAAUACACAUGUAACCAUGGAAUAUUCACCUCUUUUUUGCAGGUAGGGAAGUUUUCACAAUUGAUAUCCACGUUCAUUGGAGGCUUUGUUAUAGCAUUUGUCAAAGGAUGGCUUCUUACUCUCGUAAUGUUAUCUGCUAUCCCUCUACUUGUAAUAUCUGGUGGAACCAUAGCCGUUAUAGUAUCCAAGAUGGCAUCCCGGGGACAAAAUGCUUAUGCUAAAGCUGCCACUGUAGUUGAACAGACAAUUGGUUCGAUCCGAACUGUAAGUUCUAUAUUAAAAAUAGUCGCAGCUAAGUUAUCAAUUUUUGCCCCUAUUUUUUGGUGAAAAUAUAUGGCCAAUCAUUGACUUGAUUCCAGGUUGCGUCGUUUACUGGUGAGAAGCAAGCAAUAAACAAUUACAAUAAGUCACUUGUUACUGCUUAUAGAUCAGGCGUUCAUGAAGGCACCGCUGCUGGAGUAGGUAUUGGCUUAGUUAUGCUAGUUAUAUUCUGCAGUUAUGCUUUGGCUGUCUGGUUUGGUGGGAAGAUGAUUUUGGAGAAAGGGUACACUGGUGGUGAAGUACUUAAUGUGAUCAUGGCUGUAUUGACAGGUUCCAUGUGAGUUUAAAUUUUGAAUUUUGUCCAUCUUCUACUUUAUUAAGCGUGCUUCAUAGGCUAAAUUCCUUGGUACCUACGGACGUUUCAGGUCUCUGGGGCAAGCAUCUCCAUGCAUGACUGCGUUUGCGGCUGGUCAAGCUGCAGCGUUUAAGAUGUUUGAGACCAUCAAAAGGAAGCCAGAGAUUGAUUCCUAUGACACGAGUGGAAAAGUGUUGGAGGAUAUUCGUGGGGAUGUAGAACUGAGGGAUGUUUAUUUCAGUUACCCUGCCAGACCAGAGGAGCAAGUUUUCAGUGGAUUCUCUCUUUCUAUUCCAAGUGGCACAACAGUAGCUUUGGUUGGACAAAGUGGAAGUGGGAAAUCAACUGCAAUCAGCCUGAUCGAGAGAUUUUAUGAUCCACAAGCCGGUGAGGUUCUUAUCGAUGGCAUUAAUCUCAAGGAGUUCCAGCUUAGAUGGAUAAGGGGAAAGAUUGGUCUUGUUAGCCAGGAACCAGUGUUGUUUACGUCAAGCAUAAGGGAUAAUAUCGCAUAUGGUAAAGAAGAUGCAACCACGGAAGAGAUAAGAGCAGCAGCUGAACUUGCAAAUGCUGCUAACUUCAUUGAUAAACUACCUCAGGUUUUAGUUUAUUGUCCGAUUAAUUUUAUUUUAUAUAUCAACUUCAAUAUAUGAAUUGCACAUUUUAAUUUACUUUUGAAACUAUGGACUCCAUGCAUAGGGACUAGAUACCAUGGUUGGAGAGCAUGGAACUCAGCUUUCUGGUGGACAAAAGCAGAGAGUGGCAAUUGCAAGAGCAAUCUUGAAAGACCCACGGAUUUUGCUUUUAGACGAAGCUACAAGUGCACUCGACGCAGAAUCUGAAAGAGUUGUUCAAGAGGCAUUGGACAGGAUAAUGGGCAAUAGGACUACUGUCAUUGUUGCUCAUCGUUUAAGUACUGUGAGAAAUGCAGAUUCGAUUGCUGUAAUUCAUAAAGGAAAGAUGGUUGAAAAAGGUAGUUAUAAUCAUAUAUUUCUUGAACUUCAUCUUAAUUGUAAGUGGAGCUAUCUAACAGACGCAUGUUAUCAAGGGGAUACAUUUUUAUUCCACUAACUAAACCUGGAUUUGCCUGCAUGUUGGUGUAUUUUCAGACAUUUUGCGUAUUUCCAUUGCAUAUCUUAAAUAUUAAGGAAUAUGUUUGUAACACGUUUAACAUAUUGCUUGUAGUUCUUAUUUCUUUUUUUUGCAUUUGCAUCAGCAGUGUUAUGCUCCACAACAACAUACUUUAUCACAGUCGAUAACAUUUCUUCGAAUUGACAGGGUCGCAUUCAGAACUACUCAAGGAUCCUGAGGGAGCUUACUCUCAGCUCAUUCGUUUACAAGAAGUAAAUAAAGGGUUGGAACAGCUUGCAGAUGUAUCAGAUGUUAAUCAAGAAUUGUUCAGACAAUCGAGCCUAAGAAGGUCAUUCAAGCGAUCAAUCAGCAGGGGAUCAUCUAGAACUAGCAGCCGCAAUUCUUCUUUCUCUCAACCUUUUGGUUUACCUACUGAAAUG